rnacentral:lncRNA from 1 species
UUUACUCUUGGUGUAUCCGAUGCGACAAUCAUCAUCCCGUGUGGGUGCACAUGCCCGUGUCCCGUAUAUUGACCUUGUGAUUUUUUCCUUACUGUCCAAUAUGUCUCGCAGGUCCUCUGUGUUGCCCCGGGUCUUAGCAUUUUUGACUGAGUGGCGGCGGGGUGCGGGCCGAACUUUAGGCUGAAAUGCCUUACUGACUCGGCCGCGUAGUGGCCGGUCAGCCGCAUUGUACACUGGUGAAUGAGGUUUCGAUGCUUCCUCCUCGAGGUGAGGUAGCAAACUGCAUUUUGGAUAACUCUUGGACGGGCGCUCGAGUUCAUGCUCCUCGGCAGCAAGGACUUCGGUCCACCUGUCUGCUAGCAAGUCUUGAUCAGCUUGAAGCCGUUGCUGCUUUUUCUUCAGGCUAUUUGUUGUGGCCAUAAGCCGGCGCUUGAAGCGCUCUUGCUCGACGGGGUCCUCGGGCAUGAUAAACUCGUCGUCGCCGAGGCUCGCCUCGUCUUCGGAGGGAGGCAUGUAAUUGUCCCUCUGGUUCUCCAUCUGCUGCCCGCUCUGGAGGGCUAGCUUGUUCGUCCUCUGGCUCUAUAUCGUGUUGGAGGGGAUUGUUGUUGUCUUCGGCGCUAUCCGGGUGUUAUUAUCUCCUGUGCCGGUAUCACUGCUCUUGCUAUGGCAGCACUUAGAGCGGCGCCGCUAACGUCGGCGCUUGGGUUGCUUCGUGGAGGGGUCAUCCUCCGCUGUCUCGUCACCAUUGCCUUCUUUGGGGGUGUCCACCAUGUAUAUGUCAUAUGAUGAGGUGGCGGUCCAGCGCCCUGAGGGCGGUGGUUCCUGUUUGUCUCCGGCUUCGACGUCCAUACCAUCGAAGUCUUCGGAGUCGAAGUCGAGCAUGUCGGUUAAGUCAUCAACAGUGGCUACUAGGUGGGUGGUGGGUGGGCAGCGAAUUUCCUCGUCGUCCGCAUCCCAUUCUAGCCGAACAUAGUUCGGCCAAGGUUCUCCUGACAGGGAGAGAGACCUUAAUGAAUUUAGCACAUCUCCCAAAGGUGAGUGCUGAAAGAUAUCCGCGGAGGUGAAUUCCAUGAUCGAUGCCCAGUCGGACUCGACGGGCAUGGAUGUGAGCGGCUCAAAGUCCGUGGCCGGAGAUGAAUCCAAUGGUUCGGCGACACGGCUCUCGUGAGGGGUGAAGUCAGUAUCUGGCUCUAUCGCCACUAAGAGUGCGGCCUCCAUGGCAGGCUCUAUCCCUCCGCUCUCGUAUGGCGCGACUUGCUCCGGGUUGAUGGUCGGAGUAGUUGCGGAUGCGAUCUCCCGAACAUUGUUCGACGACAGAGUUACGUCAUGCUCGUCGCGACUGUGCGGCGCGUCCGACGUGGGCUCGGAUCCGUUGAAGAUCAAGUCUCCCCGGAUGUCGGCCGUGUAGUUCAGGCUUCCAAAUCUGACCUGAUGGCCAGGGGUGUAGCUCUUGAUCUGCUACAGAUGGCCAAGCGAAUUGGCCCGCAGUGUGAAGCCGCCGAAUAUGAAGAUCUGUCCGGGGAGGAAAACAACCGCAUCGCUAGCGAUGAUCGAAGGAGCCAUCGAGCCUUACGGUGACAAUACAGAGGAACUCUCAAUGAAAGCACCAUUGUCGGUGUCAAAACCGGCGGAUCUCGGGUAGGGGUCCCGAACUGUGCGUCUAAGGCGGAUGGUAACAGGAGGCAGGGGACACGAUGUUUACCCAGGUUCGGGCCCUCUUGAUGGAGGUAAUACCCUAUGUCCUGCUUGAUUGUUCUUGAUAAUAUGAGUAGUACAAGAGUUGAUCUACCACGAGAUCAGAGAGGCUAAACUCUAGAAGCUAGCCUAUGAUAUGAUUGUCUGUCGUCCUACGGACUAAAACCCUCUGGUUUAUAUAGACACCGGAGGGGGCUAGGGUUACACAAGGUCGGUUACAAAGGAAGAGAUAUACAUAUCCGUAUUGCCUAGCUUGCCUUCCACGCCAAGUAGAGUCCCAUCCGGACAUGAGACGAAGUCUUCAAUCUUGUAUCUUCAUAGUCCAACAGUCCGGCCAAAGGAUAUAGUCCGGCUGUCCGGAGACCCCCUAAUCCAGGACUCCCUCAAAGAUCAUUUUGGUUUUAAUAUUUUUUCUCUCCAAAAUAUUUCCAAUAUUAAAAAUAAAAGAGAGGGGAUAAAAGGCCUUCUCCAAAAUAAAAGAACUAUUGGAGGAAAAAUGUUAAAAUCAAAUAAAUAUUUUAUUAUAUUUUAUUCGAGGUUUUAUUUGAAUUAGAAAAAUAUGCAUUUUUAAAAAAAAUGCAUUUUAGGCCAGUAAAAUGUUCACUUUGUUCUAAAUAUUUUAUUUAGACAGUGAAAUUUUUUUUGGCAUUUUUAGAAUUUUUUAUAUUUAUUUAGGAUUUUCUUCGGUGGAAUUUAUUUUAUUAAAAAAACGUCAACCAACCUAGGAGCCAGCUCGGGCCGGGACUCCUAGGCGCCCCGCCGCGGCCAGCCUUUAUAACGCGAGACCCGAGGCCGCCAGCCCCAAGCCACCGCCAGCCCAAGCCGCGCCCCGCGAAACCCUACCCGACGCUAGCCCAAGCCGCGCCCCACGAAACCCUAGCCGCCGCCAGCCCAAGCCGCGCCCCGCGAAACCCUAGCCACCACCGCGCCGUCGCCGGAACCCGACCCCGCCGCCGCCGACCGAUUUUUUCCAGGUUUUCAUUGGUUUUUUUGGUAAACCCUAGAUCUACUCCAGUUUUUUUAUAUAGAUCGGUCUUUCUCGGUUUUUUCUUCGGUUAGAUCUAUUCUGCGAACGUUCGUUCGUUUAGUUCUUAUAAUGAACGGAUUCAUUCGUUUGUCUGUUAGCGGACGUUCGUCCAAUAGAUUUUUCUUUUUCUGUUUUAUUUCGCCAGGGACCUAUCCGCGAUUAUUUUCAUCGCAGAUUAGUCCCUGAUCUUCAAACCCUCUCAACUUUUUAACCGUUCGUCCAAAUCCAGUGAAACCAAUGCCAAAAUCUUCGUCUCGAACCCCUCUUUCCAGUUAACCAACUUUAAUAUGAUUUUGACAAUUUAAAAUUUGGUUUCUAGCAAAUUUGAAUUCGAACUUCUUUUGAUCGUAGUUUGAGUUUUGUAGCUGCGAUUUGAGUGUUUCUUUUUGCAAAUCGAAGCUCUUCAGUUGAACUUUCAAUUUGGACUUCCUCAUCUAAGUUUUACCCUUGCACCUAUUGCUUGAUUGCUUAUGUAUGCUAUUGUUUGUUUGCGAUAGAGUUUCCCGAGUGCGAAGCGUGCUACUACGAGUCUCUAGGGUUUGCAGAUCGUCAGCAAGGCAAGUAACACUUUGAUCAUACCCCUUUAUUACCCAGUUUUUAUGCAUUAGUUUCAACCCUCAAACAUUGCGUGAGUAGGAUUGAUAACAUGUGGGUAUUGGGAAGUAGAUGAUGAGGUAGAACCUAUUGUCCUUUAUAUCAAACCCUGGGAGUUACUUCUACGUUAUGCUUAUACUGCUAUGCUACGCUCAUAGACGUGGUUUGGUUUGAGUGAUCCAUGACAGUUGUGAUUGUUAUUAUGAACUAAGGGUUUAUUUAAGGUGGCUACUUUAACACACAUCAGGGUGGAUUGUUUGUGGGCACCUGGGGCAAUCCGGUGCUGUCCAAGGAGAUCCCGGGGAAUCCGUGUGAUCAUCCUAUGGUCCGCCACCCAGGCUCAAAGGGAUCAUAUUGUUAUUCAUGCUGGAAACUUCCGUGUGCAGCCACAAGUCAUUAUGGGCUCUGGCAUAGUUGAGUAGGUUGUGUGACCUCUUUUAGUGGUAAACUAGCAGAUGUAGGGGAAGUAGGUGGUACGGUUUACCCGUCGAAAGGGCUAAUGCUUCUGAAAGACUGUGUCUCGGUCAUCCGUUUCUCAAACAACAUACAGUGCGAGAAAUCUACGGAGGAGAUCGAGUCUUGUGGGGAAAAGUGUGCAAACCUCUGCAGAGUGUACAAACUAAUCAUGAUUAGCCGUGUCCCAGGUUAUGGACAUCUUGAGUAUCUGGUGCUUGAAUUAUUAUGUUGAUCUCAUCACUAUAUUUAAUUAACUUGUUGGGUUAAUGAUUACUUUAAUUGGGAUUGAGAUGGGGUUUACCAUUCUCAAUGUUUAUCAACUACCAUGGUAGUUAAAUAAAAUAUAUAUUCCUUUGUUGUAGGAAAAAAUUGGCUUUUCGCAAAAACAUAAUAACCAUAGAGCCUCCACCAGCCAAAUAUGCAUAUAGUUGUAGUUGUUACAUGUUCAUUGCUCUAUAGUGUUAUUUUGCCAGCAUAUUCCAUGUGCUGACCCAUUUUUGGGCUGCAACGUAUUAUGUUGCAGACUUUUUAGACGAAGAGUAAGGUUCGCUAGGUCAUUGUUUUGCACUUAGCUAUGCCAUUGGAGUUGAUGGACUCGCUUUAUCUUCCAAGCCUUCCGGUGUUAUCUUAUUAGAUGGCCUUCAGCCACAUUAUUGUAAUAAGUACUCUCUUAUGAGAUAUUCGAUGUAAUAAGUGUGUGAUUACAACUUUGUUAUAAAUCCUUCAAGUACUGUGUGUGUCAGCAUUACCAAUCUAGGGAUGACACUUAUGCAUAGAGAUUCGACCGUUUGAGGUUCUUACAAGAUGGUAUCAGAGCACACGUUGAUUGUAGGACGCGACCACUAAGAUAAGCCGUAGGUCACUCUUCUCUACUCAUUUCCGACUCCUCUCCAUUUUCCACUCUAUAGAUGGUGGACCCAAGGAACAAGUUUGCUCAAUCGGAUGAAGACACACCAUUUGGACAACAUUUGAAGGAAGUCACUAGGUACCUGAACAUCGGAAUACCAAGCUUCACCGGGACCUACACCGCCACUUUACCAGAAGAGGAGCAUUGGAUGAUUCGAGUCAUGUUCCAGGAAGGACAUUCACGCCAGUUACUGAGCCCGUAGAGUUUUCCUUUGAUGCACCAAUCUUGAGUCUAGGAAAGAGCAUGGCAGCCCACAUCGCCAUGGGAUGCAUCAGCGAAGUCUACAAUAAGGAUAUUAAGGACAGAAUCUACCAGAUAUGUGGGUGCCGAGAUGAGAAAUGGGAGAUGAUCAACACCAGGAGGGACCGAUCCAUUGCAGCCUUCAUCCAGGAGUUAAACCAGCACAUUCAUCGCGAGGAGAACCAAAUGUGCGCAAGCAUGAUAGAUCUGAAGAAGUUGAUGACUAGGAACAUGGAUCUUGAAUAGGAACUCAAGUCUACAUGCGAUGGAUACAAGGAGGAAAUCGCAAUACUAGUAGAAAAGAAUGACGACCUGACAAGGAAGAUAGGAGUAUUCAUGGGCGACCCCGCGCCAGGAGGAGAUGAUGACCAUCCCAAGGACUACAUCAUCAUCGACGACACCGACUCCGACCCCUAUAGUAGUGAUGAUGAUUACGAAGACGAAGCUGGAGCGGAUAUCAUGGAGUCUUCCACCGAUCAAAAUUUCUAGAUGACCCCCAUAUUAUCAGUAGUAUUCCCCCAUGUAUAUAGUAGUAGUCUGAGUAUUUUGUAACGGUAGCUAGAUUGACUGUAUGCCCUUGUUUGAAUUGAGUGGUGUGAUAUGAAUGUGUUUGUCUCAUGUGCAUAUGGGUAGUGUUUUUCUCCUUAGACCUCAUUCUAUUAUAAUCUCUCCCCUCUAAACCCAUCAGAUGCCUCCGAGAUGUGACCCCAGAUUUUUCUUCCCACCGGAGCUUACUCAGUUGAUCCAACAACAGAAUGCCUUGAUGCAGCUACUAGUUCAGAACCAAGGCAACAGCAACAACAACAACAACAACAACAAUAACCCACCGCCACCACCUCUAUUGGACAACUUAGCCUGUUUUCUGAGCUUGAAUCUGCCGGUGUUUUCCAAUAGCACCGAGCCCAUUGUUGCUGAUGAUUGGCUACGCAGGAUUGGAAGGGAGUUGACCACCGCAGGUUGCACAGAUGCGAAGAAGGAGCGCUUUGCCGCACACCAACUGGAUGGACCCACAGCCUCAUGGUGUGAGAAUUACACAGCCACUUUUCCCAUAGCUAAUGUCACAUGGGAUCAGUUUCAGCAAGCAUUCCGCAUAGCCCAUAUCUCAACUGGAGAUAUGAAUAUGAAGAAGCAUGAGUUCCGCAACUUACGCCAGGGAAACCGUACUGUGGGGCAGUACGUGGAUGAGUUUAGCAAGUUAGCCCGUUAUGCCCCAGAUGAUGUGGCCAUAGAUGCCACGAAGCAGGAGAAGUUUAUGGAAGGACUGGAUGAUGAGAUGCGUAUGUAGUUGAUGGUGGCAACAUUCACUAACUAUCAGGAGUUGGUAGACCGGGACCUGAUGAUUGAAAGCAAACAACAGCAGAUAGAGAGCCGCAAAUGGAAGUAUGGACAUGGGAAGUGCAAUUCUAGAGCUCAGCAGAAGCCUCGCUUUACCCCUAACUCCGGAGGUUACACCCAUAACCAUGGAGGCCAUACUCACAAUGGAGGAAGUUCCCAUAACCACAGUGGGCCUAAGAAUGGAAACUGGAAUGGAGCAAGCAGUAGCCAGAACCACCCCAACCAGCAACGCCCGCCAAGAAGGACCUGAGCCAUGUUACCUGUUACAAGUGCAGGAAGACAUGGCACUACGCCAACGACUGUUCUGAGUUGAAGAAUGGCAAUGGAAAUGGAAACUCUGGGAAGGAGCCCAAUCCCUUCAUGAGAGGUCAGGUAAACCACAUCAACGUGGAGGAGGUUGAAGAACAGCCUGACGUAGUGGUAGGUAAGUUUUUGGUUAAGUCAUUUAAUCCACUCAUUCUUUUUGAUACUGGUGCAUCACAUUCAUACAUAUCAAUGGGAUUUGUGGACAAGUUUAAGUUACCAACCUUAGCCCUUAGGUCACCCAUGUUAGUAAGCUCACCAGGAGCAGAGUAUAUGGCCAGCCGAUGGUGUGAUCGGUUACCCUUGACCAUUGGUAGCCAUGAUUUCCCCUCGGACCUAAUAAUUUUGGAGUCACAAGGAUUGGAUAUAAUAUUAGGCAUGGAUUGGUUAUUGAAGUAUGUAGGAAACAUUGAUUGUGCUAGUAAGUCAAUUCUGCUCACCACCCAGGAGGGAAAAAGAUCAAGUAUGUAUCUAGACAUUCAUCAAGGUGGACCCAAGUAAAAUCUCUUUCGGGGGUUGUUCAGGAAGAAGUGCCUGUUGUGAAGGAUUACCCGGAUGUAUUUCCAGAGGAACUACUAGGCAUGCCACCCGAUCGGGACAUAGAAUUUUUGAUAGAGCUGUUGCCAGGCACCGGACCAAUAUCAAAGAGACCGUAUCGGAUGCCCGCAAAUGAUCUAGAGGAAAUUAAGAAGCGGAUUAAGGAGCUACUGGAGAAAGGUUAUAUUCGAUGAAGUUCAUCCCCGUGGGGAGCCCCAGUGCUUUUGGUUGAGAAGAAGGACGGAUCUUUGAGAAUGGUUGUUGAUUAUCAUGCAUUAAACGAAGUAACGAUCAAGAACAAGUACCCACUACCGAUGAUCAACGAUUUGUUUGACUAGUUGCAAGCCUGCAAGGAGCUAAAGUAUUUUCCAAGAUCGAUCUGCGAUCAGGAUACCGCCAGUUGAAGAUUCGGGAAAAAGAUAUACCUAAGACAACUUUCACCACAAGGUAUGGGCUAUAUGAGUACAUGGUCAUGUCAUUUGGAUUGACCAACGCCUCUACUUACUUAAUGAGUAUGGUGAAUAAUGUGUUCAUGGAGUUUUUGGAUAAGUUUGUAGUGGUGUUCAUUGAUGAUAUUUUGGUGUACUCGAAGAAUGAAGAGGAACACAAGGAACACUUGUGCUUAGUUCUCGAGAAGCUCAGGGAACAUCAAAUGUAUGCCAAGUUCAGCAAAUGUGAGUUUUGGUUGAAGGAAGUAGGAUUUCUUGGACAUGUUAUAUCAGGAGAAGGUAUAGCAGUAGACACCACCAAGGUUCAGUCUAUAACUAAGUGGUUGGCACCCACCUCAGUUGGGGAGAUCCACAGUUUUCUAGGACUUGAGGGAUACUAUCGGAGAUUCAUUGAGAAUUUUUCCAAGAUUGCGAAGCCUAUGACGGAGUUGUUGAAGAAGGACACCAAGUUUAAAUGGACGGAUGAAUGUGAGUCUAGUUUUCAAGAGUUGAAGAAACGUUUGGUUAUAGCCCCAGUGCUGAUUCUUCCAGAUAUACGCAAGGAUUUCCAAGUGUAUUGCGACGCUUCUCGCCUGGGACUUGGAGGAGUACUUAUGCAGGACGGAAGAGUUGUUUCAUAUGCCUCAUGACAACUUCUACCACAUGGAUUGAAUUAUGCCACGCAUGAUUUGGAGAUAGCAGCCAUGGUGCAUGCGCUCAAGACCUGGAGACAUUUUCUUAUUGGAAACCGAUAUGAUGUGUACACAGAUCACAAGAGUUUGAAGUACAUUUUUACGCAAAAGGAGCUGAAUCUCAGGCAAAGGAGAUGGUUGGAGCUUAUAAAGUAUUAUGAUAUGAAAUUGCAUUAUCACCCAGGAAAGGCCAAUGUCGUAGCAGAUGCUUUGAGCCGGAAGAGUUAUGCCAAUACCCUUGUAAGCGGAGGAUUACCGCAGGAGCUAGUCAAGAAUCUCAAGGAGCUUCGUUUGGAGAUAGUUCCAAGAGGUUUUGUGGCAACAAUGGAGGUUCAGUCUACAUUAUUGGGAAAUAUUCGAGAAGCUCAGAAGGAUGAUAAGGAAAUCGAUGAGAUAAAGGAGAAAAUGAGCAAAGGAAAAGCCCAGGGUUUCCGUGAGGAUGAGCACGAGACCUUAUGGUUCGAGGAUCGUAUUUAUGUACCCAAUGAUGCUGAGAUCAGGAAGUUAAUACUUCAGGAAGCUCAUGACUCGCCAUACUCGAUUCACCCCGGAAACACCAAGAUGUAUUUGGAUUUGAAGGAGCGCUUCUGGUGGACGGGUAUGAAGAAGGAUAUUGCCGAGUAUGUAGCAGUGUGUGAUGUAUGUCAGAGAGUGAAGGCUGAACAUCAGAAACCAGCAGGAUUACUACAGCUUAUGCCAAUACCCGAAUGGAAGUGGGACAAGCUUGGCAUGGAUUUCAUCACCGGAUUGCCCAGGACCCGAUCGGGAUAUAUUCAAUCUGGGUAGUAGUUGAUCGUUUGACAAAGGUAGCUCACUUUAUCCCCGUGAAAACCACCUAUACAAGCGCGAAGUUGGCCAAAAUAUAUAUGACCAGGAUCGUAUGUCUGCAUGGAGUUCCAAGGACCAUCGUAUCAGAUAGAGGGACACAAUUUACCUCGAAGUUUUGGAAUCAACUGCACCAGAUUUUGGGUACCAGGCAAGAGUUCAGUAUAGCCUUUCAUCCGCAGACAGAUGGACAGACAGAGAGAGCCAAUCAGAUUCUGGAGGACAUGUUGAGAGCUUGUGCGCUAGAUUAUGGAUCUAGUUGGGAUGAUAAUUUGCCUUACGCCGAGUUCUUAUACAACAACAGUUAUGAGGCUAGUUUGAAGAUGGCUCCUUUAGAAGCUUUGUAUGGAAGAAAAUGCUGAACACCGUUAAUGUGGGAUGAAGUUGGAGACCGCCAGUUGUUGGACCGGUUUGAUCAAAGAGUCUGAAGAGAAGGUUAAGUUGAUUCGAGACAGACUGAAGGUAGCUCAGUCCAGGCAGAAGAGUUAUGUAGAUACUAAACGCAAGGAGAUAGUCUAUGAGAUUGGAGAAGGAGCAUAUCUUCGUGAGUCACCUCUGUGAGGAGUUAAACGUUUUGGAGUUAAGGGAAAGUUAGCCCCGAGGUUUGUAGGACUGUACCGAGUUUUGGUAUAGAUGGGAGAGGUUUCCUACAAGGUUGAAUUACCCGAAGGAUUGUCAGGAGUUCAUGAUGUAUUUCAUGUUUCCCAAUUGAAGAAGUGUCAUGCUGAGAUGGCCGAUAUUCCACUAAGAGAUACAGUGCACCUCGAAGCAAUUCAGUUGGAUAGUGAUCUGACCUAUGAGGAGAAACCUGUCAAUAUUCUCAAGUUUGCCAGCCGGGUUACACGCAGCAAGGUUAUCAAGUUUUGCAAAGUUGAGUGGAGCCACCAUACCGAGGAUGAAGCCACCUGGGAAUGAGAUGAAGAUCUACGAAAAGACCACCCACACCUAUUUUCUAGCCAACCCGAAUCUCGAGGGCGAGAUUCAUCUUAAGGGUAGGUUUGUAACAUCCCAAUUUUCAAUUUGGAUGUUAUACCUAGGUCAUCAUAUGCAUAUCAUAUUUUAUUUGCAUUUUGCUUUGAUCCUAGAAAUCUUAAGCAACUCAAGGACCCAAGGAGAGAGUUGGAAGUUUUGUUUAUUUUCAUAUUUGAAUUUUCUCAAAUUUGAAAAGAGGAUCAUUUUGGUUUUAAUAUUUCUCUCUCCGAAAUAUUUCCAAUACUAAAAAUAAAAGAGAGGGUAUAAAAGGACUUCUCCAAAAUAAAAGAAAUAUUGGAGGAAAAUGUUAAAAUCAAAUAAAUAUUUUAUUGGAUUUUAUUCGAGGUUUUAUUUGAACUAGAAAAAAUAUGCUUUUUUAAAAAAGUGCAUUUUAGUCCAGAAAAAUGUUCACUUUGUUCUAAAUAUUUUAUUUAGAUGGUGAAAAUUGUUUUUGGCAUUUUUAGAUUUUUUUUAUAUUUAUCUAGGAUUUUCUUCGGCGGAUUAUUUUAUUAAAAAACGCGAACCGACCUAGGAGCCGGCUCGGGCCGAGACUCCCAGGCGCCCCGCCACCGCUAGCCUUUAUAAGGCGAGGCCCGAGGCCGCCAGCCCCAAGCCGCCGCCAGCCCAAGCCACGCCUCGCGAAAUCCUAGCCGCCGCCGCGCAUCGAGCUCCGCUCUGCGCCGCGCCGCAGCCACCUCGCGCCUCCACCGCUGCCGCCCCGCCCCACGCCAUCGCCGGAAGCCGACCCCGCCGCCACCAACCAGUUUUUCUGGGUUUUCGUCGGUUUUUUAUAUAGAUCGGUUUUUCUCUGUUUUUUCUUCGGUUAGAUCUAUUAUGCGAACGUUCGUUCGUUUAGUUCUUAUAACGAACGAAUUCGUUCGUUUGUCUCUGUUACCGGACAUUCGUCUGAUAGAUUUUUCUUUUUCUGUUUUAUUUCGCCAGGGACCUAUCUGCGAUUAUUUUUAUCGCCGAUUAGCCCCUGAUCUUCAAACCCUCGCAACUUUUUAACCGUUCGUCCAAAUCCAGUGAAACGAACGCCAAAAUCUUCAUCUCGAACCCCUCUUUCCAGUUAACAAACUUGAACAUGAUUUUGACAAAUUAAAAUUUGGUUGCAAGCAGAUUUUAAUUCGAACUUCUUUUGAUUGUAGUUUGAGUUUUGUAGCUCCGACUUGAGUAUUUGUUUUUGCAAAUCGAAGCUCUUCAGUUGAACUUCCAAUUUGGACUUUCUCAUAUGAGUUUUACCCUUGCACCUCUAUUGCUUGAGUGCUUACGUAUGCUAUUGUUUGUUUGUGAUAGAGUUUCCGGAGUGCGAAGCGUGCUACUACGAGUCUCUAGAGUUUGCAGAUUGCCAGCAAGGCAAGUAACACUUUGAUCAUACCCCUUUAUUACCCAGUUUUUAUGCAUUAGUUUCAACCCUCAAACAUUGCAUGAGUAGGAUUGAUAACAUGUGGGUAUUGGGAAGUAGAUGAUGAGGUAGAACCUAUUGUCCUUUAUAUCAAACCCUGGGAGUUACUUCUAUGUUAUGCUUAUACUGCUAUGCUAUGCUCGUAGACGUUGUUUGGUUUGAGUGAUCCAUGACAGUUGUGAGUGUUAUUAUGAAGUAAGGGUUUAUUUAAGGUGGCUACUUUAACACACAUCAGGGUGGAUUGUUUGUGGGCACCUGGGGCAAUCUGGUGCUAUCCAAGGAGAUUCCGGGGAAUCCGUGUGAUCAUCCUAUGGUCCGCCACCCAGGCUCAAAGGGAUCAUAUUGUUAUUCAUGCUGGAAACUUCCGUGUGCAGCCACGAGCCAUUAUGGGCUCUAGCAUAGUUGAGUAGGUUGUGUGACCUCUUUUAGUGGUAAACUAGCAGAUGUAGGGGAUGUAGGUGGUACGGUUUACCCGUCGAACGGGCUAAUGCUUCUGAAAGACUGUGUCUCGGUCAUCCGUUUCUCAAACAUCAUGCAGUGCGAGAAAUCUAUGGAGGAGAUCGAGUCUUGUGGGGAAAAGUGCGCAAACCUCUACAGAGUGUACAAACUAAUCAUGAUUAGCCGUGUCCCCGGUUAUGGACAUCUUGAGUAUCUGGUGCUUGAAUUAUUAUGUUGAUCUCAUCACUAUAUUUAAUUAACUUGUUGGGUUAAUGAUUACUUUAAUUGGGAUUGAGAUGGGGUUUACCAUUCUCAAUGUUUAUCAACUACCAUGAUAGUUAAAUAAUAUAUAUUCCUUUGUUGUAGGGAAAAAUUGGCUUUUCACAAAAACAUAAUAACCAUAGAGCCUCCACCAACCAAUUAUGCAUAUAGUUGUAGCUGUUACAUGUUCAUUGCUCUACAGUGUUAUUUUGCCAACAUAUUCCAUGUGCUGACCCGUUUUUGGGCUGCAAUGUAUUAUGUUGCAGACUUUUCAGACAACGAGUAAGGUGCGCUAGGUCGUUGUUUUGCACACUCAGCUAUGCCGUUGGAGUUGAUGGACUCGCUUUAUCUUCCAAGCCUUCCGAUGUUAUCUUAUUAGAUGGUCUUCAGCCACAUUAUUGUAAUAAGUACUCUCUUAUGAGAUAUUCAAUGUAAUAAGUGUGUGAUUGCAACUCUGUUAUAAAUCCUUCAAGUACUGUGUGUGUCAGCAUUACCGAUCCAGGGAUGACACUUAUGCACAGAGAUUCGACCGUUUGAGGUUGGAUCGCUACACGAUGUGAGGAGAAGGAGGAUAGGCAAGAGCUCAAGCUUGGGGAUGCCCAAGGCACCCCAAGUAACUAUUCAAGGAGACUCAAGCGUCUAAGCUUGGGGAUGCCCUGGAAGGCAUCCAAUCUUUCUUCAACAAGUAUCGGUAUGUUUUCGGAUUCGUUUCGUUCAUGCAAUAUGUGCAAAUUUUGGAGCAUCUUUUGCAUUUAGUUUUCACUUUUCUUUGAUGCACCAUGCUGGUAUGAGAUAGUCAUGGUUGAUUUAUAGAAUGCUCAUUGCACUUCACUUAUACCUUUUGAGUGUGGCUUUAUAGAACGCUUCAUGUGCUUAACUUUUAUCAUUUGAAGUUUGGAUUGUCUGUUUCUUUUCACAUAGAAAACCGCCAUUUUUAGAAUGCUCUUUUGCUUCACUUAUAUUUGUUAGAGCUCGGGCAUAUCUUUUGUAGAAAGAAUUAAACUAUCUUGCUUCACUUAUAUCUAUUUAGAGAGAUGACAGGAAUUGGUCAUUCACAUGGUUAGUCAUAAAAUCCUACAUAAAACUUGUAGAUCACUGAAUAUGAUAUGUUUGAUUCCUUGCAAUAGUUUUGCGAUAUAAAGGUGGUGAUAUUAGAGUCGUACUAGUUGAGUGAUUGUGAAACUGAAAAAUACUUGUGUUGAGGUUUGCAAGUCUCGUAGCAUGCACGUAUGGUAACUGUUGUGUGACAAAUUUGAAGCAUGAGGUGUUUCUUUGAUUGCCUUCCUUAUGAGUGGCAGUCGGGGACGAGCGAUGGUAUUUUCCUACCAAUCUAUCCCCCUAGGAGCAUGCGCGUAGUGCUUGGUUUUGAUGACUUGUAGAUUUUUGCAAUAAGUAUGUGAGUUCUUUAUGACUAAUGUUGAGUCCAUGGAUUAUACGCACUCUCACCCUUCCAUCAUUGCUAGCCUCUUCGGUACCAUGCAUUGCCCUUUCUCACCUCGAGAGUUGGUGCAAAUUUCGCUGGUGCAUCCAAACCCCGUGAUAUGAUACGCUCUAUAACACAUAAGCCACCUUAUAUCUUCCUCAAAACAGCCACCAUACCUACCUAUUAUGGCAUUUCCAUAGCCAUUCCGAGAUAUAUUGCCAUGCAACUUCCAUCAUCAUCAUAUACAUGACUUGAGCAUUCAUUGUCAUAUUGCUUUGCAUGAUCAUAAGAUAGCUACCAUGAUGUUUUCAUGGCAUGUCUGUUUUUUUAUGUCAUUGCUACGCUAGAUCAUUGCACAUCCUGGUACACCGCCGGAGGCAUUCAUAUAGAGUCAUACUUUGUUCUAGACAUCAAGCUGUAAGUAAAUAGAAGUGUGAUGAUCAUCAUUAUUAGAGCAUUGCCCCAGUGAGGAAAGGAUGAUGGAGACUAUGAUUCCCCCACAAGUCGGGAUGAGACUCCGGACUUUAAAAAAAUGAGGCCAAAGAAGUCCACCAAAAAAACAAAAAAAUGAGAGAAAAAGAGAGAAGGGGCAAUGCUACUAUCCUUUUACCACACUUGUGCUUCAGAGUAGCACCAUGUUCAUCAUAUAGAGAGUUUCUUGAGUUAUCACUUUUAUAUACUAGUGGGAAUUUUCAUUAUAGAACUUCGCGUGUAUAUUCCGAUAAUGGGCUUCCUCAAAUGCCAGAGGUCUUCAUGAGCAAGCAAGUUGGAUGCACACCCACUUAAUUUCUAGUUUGAGCUUUCAUACACUUAUAGCUCUUAGUGCAUCCGUUGCAUGGCAAUCCCUACUCCUCGCAUUGACAUCAAUUGAUGGGCAUCUCCAUAGCCCGUUGAUUAGCCGCGUCGAUGUGAGACUUUCUCCCUUUUUGUCUUCCCCACACAACCUCCAUCAUCAUAUUCUAUUCCACCCAUAGUGUUAUGUCCAUGGCUCGUGCUCAUGUAUUGAGUGAAAGUUAAAAAAAGUUUGAGAAUACUAAAGUAUGAAACAAUUGCUUGGCUUGUCAUCGGGGUUGUGCAUGAUGAGAGCAUUUCAUGUGAUGAAAAUGAAGCAUGGCCAAACUAUAUGAUUUUGUAGGGAUGAGCUUUCUUUGGCUAUGUUAUUUCAAGAGGACAUAAUUGCUUGGUUAGUAUGCUUGAAGUAUUAUUGUCUUAAUGUCAAAUGAUAGACUAUUGCUUUGAAUCACUCGUGUCUUAAUAUACAUGCCAUGAUUAGAUUACAUGAUCAAGAUUAUGCUAGGUAGCAUUCCACAUCAAAAAUUAUAUUUUUUAUCAUUUACCUACUCGAGGACGAGCAGGAAUUAAGCUUGGGGAUGCUGAUACGUCUCCGUCGUAUCUAUAAUUUUUUAUUGUUCCAUGCCAAUAUUAUACAACUCUCAUAUACUUCUGGCAACUUUUUAUACUAUUUUUUGGGGACUAACAUAUUGAUCCAGUGCCCAGUGCCAGUUCCUAUUUGUUGCAUGUUUUUUGUUUCACGGAAAAUCCAUAUCAAAUGGAGUCCAAAUGGGAUAAAAACUGACGGAGAUUUUUUUGGAAUAUAUGUGAUUUUUGGGAAGAAGAAUCAACGCGAGACGAUGCUCGAGGGGGCCACGAGGCAGGGGGCGCUACCUGGGCCCUCGUGGCCACCCCAUAAGGCGGUUGGUGCCCUUCUUUCGCUGCAAGAAAGCCAAUAUCCAGAUAGAAAUCGUGUUAAAAUUUCAGCCCAAUCGGAGUUACGCAUCUCUGGGAAUAUAAGAAACGGUGAAAGGCCAGAAUCUGGAACGCAGAAACAGAGAGAGACAAAGAGACAAAUCCAAUCUCGGAGGGGCACUCGCCCCUCCGCCGCCAUGGAGGCCAUAGACCAGAGGGGAAACCCUUCGCCCAUCUAGGGAGAAGGUCAAGGAAGAAGAAGAAGGGGGCUCUCUCCCCCUCUCUCCGGGUGGCGCCGGAACGCUGCUGGGGCCAUCAUCGUGUGACGGCGAUCUACACCAACACCUCCGUCAUCUUCACCAACAUCUUCAUCACCUUCCUCCAUAUAUCUACAGCGGUCCACUCUCCCGCAACCCGUUGUAGCCUCUACUUGAACAUGGUGCUUUAUGCAUCAUAUUAUUAUCCAAUGAUGUGUUGCCAUCCUAUGAUGUCUCAGUAGAUUUUUGUUGUCCUAUCGGGAAUUGGUGAAUUGCUAUGAUUGGUUUAAUUUGCUUGUGGUUAUGUUGUUGUCCUUUGGUGCCACUCAUAUGAGCGCGCGCGUGGACCACACGACAGGGUUAGUUGUAUGUUGAUAGGACUAUGUAUUGGAGGGCAAGAGUGACAGAAGCUUCAACCUAGCAUAGAAAUUGAUCCAUACGGGAUUGAAGGGGGACCAAUAUAUCUUAAUGCUAUGGUUGGUUUUUACCUUAAUGAACAUUAGUAGUUGUGGAUGCUUGCUAAUAGUUCCAAUCAUAAGUGCAUAGAAUUCCAAGUCGGGGAUGACAUGCUAGCAGUGGCCUCUCCCACAUAAAACUUGCUAUUGGUCUAGUAAAGUAGUCAAUUGCUUAGGGACAAUUUCGCAACUCCUACCACCACUUUUCCACACUCGCUAUACUAACUUUAUUGCUUCUUUACCUAAAACAGCCCCUAGUUUUUAUUUACGUGCUCUUUAUAUUCUUGCAAACCUAUCCCGUUACACCUACAAAGUACUUCUGGGUUCAUACUUGUUCUAGGUAAAGCGAACAUUAAGCGGGCGUAGAGUUGUAUCGGUGGUCGAUAGAACUUGAGGGAAUAUUUGUUCUACCUUUAGCUCCUCGUUGGGUUUACCACUCUUACUUAUCGAAAGAGGCUACAAUUGAUCCCCUAUACAUGUGGGUUAUCAAUGGUCUCUCUCAAAUGACCCUGCAACCAAAUACAAGCAAUCUCUCGUGUCCCCAACACACCCAAUACAAUGGCAAAUUGUAUAGGUGCACUAGUUCGGCGAAGAGAUGGUGAUAAAAGUGUAAUAUGGAUGGUAGAAAUAUAUUUUUAUAAUCUGAAUAAAUAAAAACAGCAAGGUAGAAAAUAGUAAACGAGCACAAAAAUGGUAUUACAAUGCUUAAAAACAAGGCCUAGGGUCUGUACUUUCGCUAGUGCAAUCUCUCAAUAGUGAUCAUAUGAUUAUCCCUCAAAGUGUAACGAAGAACCACUCCCGAGUUCCUAUUAGCAGAGAACAAAAGAUAGGAAUUUUUUGUAGGGUACUAAACCACCUCAAAGCUAUUCUUUCCGUUCGAUCUAUUCAAGAGUCCAUACUAAAAUAACACAAAGCUAUAUUUUCCGUUCGAUCUAUCCUAGAGUCCGUACUAAGAUUACACCAAAGCAAGUUCAUAUUCAUAAUACUCAAUCCACACAAAGAACUAUAAAGAGACCCCAAAGUUUCCAUUGGAGAAAAGAUAAUAAAAACGUGCAUCAACCCCUAUGCAUAGAUUACCCCAAUAUCACCGCGGGAAUCCGUGAGUUGAAUGCCAUAACAUAUAUCAAGUGAAUAAAUAAGAUACCCCAAUUUUCACCUCAAGUAUUCAUACUGCAAGACAUAUAUCAUGUGUUCUCAAAUCUGAACAUUCAAUCCGACAAGACAAAACUUCAAAGGGUAAAGACUCAAUUCAUCACAACAAGAGUAUAGAGGGGAGAACCAUCAUAUGAUCCGACUAUAUUAACAAAGCCCAUAAUAUAGAUCACGAGAGAGAGAUUAAACACAUAGCUACUGGUACAAACCCUCGGCCCCGAGGGUGGACUACUCCCUCCUCAUUGUGGUGGCCGCUGGGAUGAUGAAGAUGGCCACCGGAGAUGAUUCCCCCCUCCGGCAGGGUGCCGGAACGGGUCUAGAUUGGUUUUCGGUGCUACGGAGCCCUGCGGCGGCGGAACUUCUGAUCUAGGUUAACCCCGAGGGGUUUCAGAAUAUUUGGGCAUUUAUACUGCAAAGAAGGGGUGAUGGAGGCCACCGAGGUGGGCACAACCCACCUGGGCGCGCCAGGGGGCCCUGGCGCGCCCUGGUGGGUUGUGCCCCCCUCGGGGGGCCCCCAGGUGCAGCUCUGGCCCAUUGGGUUCCUUCCGGUCCAUAAAAAGUCCACAAAAAGUUUCACGGUGUUUGGACUCCGUUUAAUAUUGAUUUUCUGCGAUGUAAAAAACUAGCAAAAAACAGCAACUCGCACUGGGCACUGGGUCAAUAGGUUAGUCCCAAAAAUGAUAUAAAGUUGCUAUAAAAUGAUUGUAAAACACCCAAGAAUGAUAAUAUAUUGGCAUUAAUACUUCAUAAAUUAUAGAUACGUUGGAGACGUAUCAGCAUCCCCAAGCUUAAUUUCUACUCGUCCUCGAGUAGGUAAAUGAUAAAAGAAAUAAUUUAUGAAGUGUGAAUGCUAGCAAAGUGUACAAGUUUGAUCAAUGAUAGUUUCAAUCACUUUUCCUAGCAUCAUAACAGCAUUUCUUUCUUAUGAAACUUCUCAUGUUAUAGUGGCAACCAAUUCACAUGUUAAGGUUCAAACAAUGAAUUCUCUUGAAACCCAACAACCUAUGUUUUAGUCACCAAGCAAUUGCAAUUCAACUUAUUCAAUAGAGUUUAAGUAAGAGCUCCACAUACUCAACCAUCAUAUAGUAUUCUCUGAUUGCUAACAUCACUGCAUACUCAUGAGCAAAACGUUUCAACCAGACACAUAGAAAGAUAGGGGCUUAUUGUUUUGCCUCCCAACGUAUUCACCUCAAGGGUGAUGUCAACAAUAAUAACUCAUGCUACCCAUAUUCAACUGGACAUAUGUGCCUAGAUCUUUCCUCACCACAUGAUGCUUGCCAAAAGAUAAAAAUAAAAAGGAAUAGAGAGAAAAACUUUGACUCUUGCAUAAAAGCAAAUACAUAAAAGUAAAAGAUAGGCCCUUCGGAGAGGGAAGUAGGGAUUUGUAGAGGUGCUAGAGCUCAAAGCGAAAAUUGAUUGAUAAGAACAUUUUGAGAGGCAUACUUUUCCCACCAACGAAAAUGACUUAGAGCUCGCAACACUUUCCAUGCUAGAUAUAUCAUGGGUGGUUCCCAAACAGAAAAUAAAGUUUAUUCCUUUUUCCACCAUACUUUCACUUUCCAUGGCUAACCGUAUCCACGGGUGCCCUCCAUACCAAUACUUUCCAAGGAAUUUAUUAUUCGACAAUAUAAAGUAAAUUCAUUUUUCAUUUCGGGACUGGGCGUCCCUAAUACCUUUGCCUUACUCUCGUGCAAUGACAAGUGAAUAAACACUCAUCGUAAGAAUAACACAUCUAGCAUGGAAAAUAUUGGCCACCCCUCACCGCCUUGCGAGUGGUACGAGCACACAAAAGAGAGAUUUAUUUUGAAUAUUAGAGAUGGCACAUACAAAUUUUCUUAGAACGGCAAAAGAAUACCGCAUAUAGGUAGGUAUCAUGGACUCUUGAAAAUAAGAUUUGGGUUUAAGGGUUUUUGGAUGCACAAGUAGUAUCUCUACUUGGUGCGGAAUUUUUGGCUAGCAAAGAUGGGGGCAAGCACCACAUGUUGAAGGAUCUAUAACAAUAUAACUUCUAUGUGAAUAUGAACAAACAUAAACCAUUACGUUGUCUUCCUUGUCCAACGUCAACAAUUUUGGCAUAUAAUAUUUUGAUGGGGGCUCACAAUCACAAAAUAUUACCAUGAUAGUGUAUUUGCAUGUGAAAGUUCUCUUCCUUAUACUAAUUAUUUGUGAAUUGUUUGUAUGACCAAUAUUGUGAUUGUCAAGCCUCAAAAGAUUUCACUUUCUAAACCCGAUGUGAAGCUACCACUAGGCAUGAUAUGAUUUCAACUUCAUGAUAUUCAAUUUAUUCAAUAAUUUACUCAUAUGAUAUAAGUGAAGCACAAGAGUAAAUGACAUAGAAAAGAGCUUCGUUGACGGGAUGUGAAUGCAACUUACUUGGCCUCCUGGCAACUAUUUGAGAUUCUAUUUUAUUUAAAAACUUUCAGAUCUAAGUAUUUUAUUAAAACAGCAAGCAAAACAAAAUAAAAUGGCAAUCCGAGGAUAGCACGUAUCAUGUGAAGAAGCAAAAACUUAGGCCCAACCAAUACUGACCGAUAAUUGUUGAAGAAAAAGGGUGGGAUGCCUACCGGGGCAUCCCCAAGCUAGAUGCUUGAGACUUCUUGAAAUAUUAUCUUGGGAUGCCUUGGGUAUCCACAAUCUUGAGCUUUUGUGUCUCCUUAAUUCCUUUUAUAUCACGGUUUUCCUAAAUCUCAAAAGCUUCAUCCACACAAAACUCAACAAGAACUCGUGAGAUAAGUUAGUAUAAACCAAUGCAAAAACCUUAUCAUUCUCUACUGUAGAAAAUCAAUAAAAUUGUUAUGCAACAUUGCAAAAUAAAUUCAUCUGCAUAUUUAAUACUCCUAUCCUCAAAUAGAAUCAUUAAACAAGCAAACAUAUGCAAACAAUGCAAACAUAACAGCAAUCUGCCAAAACAGUAUAGUCUAUAAAGAAUGCAAGAGUAUAAAUACUUCCCUAACUCCAAACAUUAUGAAAAUUUACCACACUGAAUAAAAUUUAUUAGACCUCAUUGUGCAAAAAGUUUCAACAUUUUAUCACAUUCUGACUUUUCUAGGGAAUUUUUGCAACAGCGGUAAACUUUCUGUUUUUCAAACAGCAACAUUACUUGCAAAGUAAGUAUGACAAAGGCUAUCAUUGCCACUUUUACUGAAAUAAAAUAUGCAAAACAUUAUUCUAAAUAACAGCAAGAAAAUCCUAACAAAAUAAAUUGAUGCUCCAAGCAAAACACAUAUCAUGUGGCGAAUGAAAACAUAGCUCCAAGUGAGGUUACCGAUAAUGUUGGAGAUGAAAGAGGGGAUGCCUUCCGCGGCAUCCCCAAACUUAGUUGCUUGAAUCUUCUUUGAAUAUUUCCUUGGGGGUGCCUUGGGAAUCCCCAAUAUUAGGUUCUUGUCAGUCCUUAUUCUCCUCAUAUCGAUAUCUCACCCAAAACUUGAAAACUUCAAUCACACAAAACUUAACGGAACUUCGUGAGAUAGGUUAGUGUGAUAAAGAGCAAACCAUUUCAUUUUUGGUACUAUCAAAGAAAAGAUUAAUAAUUGUUUCCACACAAUGCCUACUGUAGCAUAUCAUUUCUACAAUUUAUAUUGAGAAAUAUAAGCCAUAGAAACUAGAAAAAAAGCAAACUAUGCAUUGAAAACAGAAUUUGUCAAAAACAGAACACUCUAUAGUAAUCUGCACUCAAACCAUACUUAUUCUACUCCAAAAAUUCUGAAAAAUUAGGACAACCUGAGAAAUUUGUCUACUAAUCUUCUUCAAAAAGAAUCAACAUUUUAUCACGCUUCUGUUAAAAAUUAGAAUUUUUUUCUGAGUGCAAAAGUUUCUGUUUUUUCAGCAAGAUCAACUCAACUAUCACCCAACAAGAUCCUAAAGGCUUUACUUGGCACUUUAUUGAAACAAAAGCAAUAAAACAUGAUUACUACAGUAGCAUAAGCAUGUGAACACACAAAAAACAGUAGGUAAAAGUGUUGGGUUGUCUCCCAACAAGCGCAUUUCUUUAAUGCCUUUUAGCUAGGCAUGAUGAUUUCAAUGAUGCUCGCAUAAAAGUAAAGAAUUCAAACAUAACAAGAGCAUCAUGAAACACAUGGCAAGCACAUUUAAGCCUAGCCAACUUCGCACACAUAGGGAUUUUCUAAGCAAAUAAUUCAUGGGAGCAAGAAUCAACUAGCAUAGGAAGGCAAAACAAGUGCAACUUCAAGAUUUUCAACACAAAGAGAGGAAACUUGAUAUUAUUGCAAUUCCUACAAGCAUAAGUUCCUCCCUCAUAAUAAUUUUCAGUAGCAUCAUGAAGAAAUUCAACAAUAUAACCAUCACAUAAAGCAUUCUUUUCAUGACACAAAAGCAUAGAAAACUUAUUACUCUCCACAUAAGCAAAUUUAUUCUCAUCAAUAGUAGUGGGAGCAAACUCAACAAAGUAACUAUCAUGGGAUUGAAAAUUAAAAUCAUGAUAAAAGUUCCAUGGUUAUCAUUAUUCUUUAUAGCAUACAUGUCAUCACCAUAAUCAUCAUAGAUAGCAACUUUGUUAUCAUAGUCAAUUGAAGCCUCAUCCAAAAUGGUGGAUUCAUCACUAAAUAAAGUCAUGACCUCUCCAAAUCCACUUUCAUCAUUAUAAUAAUCAUAAAUAAGAGGCAUGCAAUCAUUAUAACAAAUUUGCACAUCAAAUCUUGGGGGACUAAAAAUAUCAUCUUCAUCAAACAUAGCAUCCCCAAGCGUAUGGCUUUGCAUAUGAUUAGCAUCAUGGAUAUUCAAAGAAUUCAUACUAACAACAUUGCAAUCAUGCUCAUCAUUUAUACCAAACAUUCUAUUGAGUUCUUCUUCUAUCAAUUGAGUACAAUUUUCCUUUCCAUCACUUUCACGAAGUACAUUAUAAAGAUGAAUAAUAUGAUGCAACCUCAAUUCCAUUUUUUAUAGUUUUUCUUUUAUAAACCAAACUAGUGAUAAAACAAGAAACUAAAAGAUUAGAUUGCAAGAUCUAAAGAUAUACCUUCAUGCACUCACCUCCCUGGCAACGGCGCCAGAAAAGAGCUUGAUGUCUACUAUGCAACUUUAUUCUUGUAGACACGUGUUGGGCCUCCAAGCGUAGAGUUUUGUAGGACAGUAGCAAUUUUCCCUCAAGUGGAUGACCUAAGGUUUAUCAAUCCGUGAGAGGUGUAGGAUGAAGAUGGUGUCUCUCAAAUGACCCUGCAACCAAAUACAAGAAAUCUCUUGUGUCCCCAACACACCCAAUACAAUGGCAAAUUGUAUAGGUGCACUAGUUCGGCGAAGAGAUGGUGAUAAAAGUGUAAUAUGGAUGGUAGAAAUAUAUUUUUAUAAUCUGAAUAAAUAAAAACAGAAGGUAGCAAAUAGUAAACGGGCACAAAAAGGGUAUUACAAUGCUUAAAACAAGGCCUAGGGUCUGUACUUUCGUUAUUGCAAUCUCUCAACAGUGUUAACAUAGUUGGAUCAUAUGAUUAUCCCUCAAAGUGUAACGAAGAAUCACUCCCGAGUUCCUAUUAGCAGAGAACAAAAGAUAGGAAUUGUUCGUAGGCUACUAAACCACCUCAAAGCUAUUCUUUCCAUUCGAUCUAUUCAAUAGUCCAUACUAAAAUAACACAAAGCUAUUUUUUGUUCGAUCUAUCCUAGAGUUCAUACUAACAUAACACCGAAGCAAGUUCAUAUUCAUAAUACUCAAUCCACACAAAGAACUAUAAAGAGACCCCAAAGUUUCCGUCGGAGAAAAGAUAAUAAAAACGUGCAUCAACCCCUAUGCAUAGAUUACCCCAAUAUCAUCGCGGGAAUCCGCGAGUUGAAUGCCAUAACAUAUAUCAAGUGAAUCAAUAAGAUACCCCAAUUGUCACCUCAAGUAUUCAUACCGCAAGACAUAUAUCAUGUGUUCUCAAAUCUGAACAUUCAAUCCGACAAGACAAAACUUCAAAGGGUAAAGACUCAAUUCAUCACAACAAGAGUAUAGAGGGGAGAAACAUCAUAGGAUCCGACUAUAUAAACAAAGCCCAUAAUAUAGAUCACAAGAGAGAGAGAGAGAUUAAACACAUAGCUAAUGGUACAAACCCUCAGCCCCGAGGGUGGACUACUCCCUCCUCAUCAUGGUGGCCGCUGGGAUGAUGAAGAUGGCCACCGGAGAUGAUUCCCCCCCUCCGGCAGGGUGCCGGAACGGGUCUAGAUUGGUUUUCGGUGCUACGGAGCCCUGCGGCGGCGGAACUUCUGAUCUAGGUUAACCUCGAGGGGUUUCGGAAUAUUUGGUAAUUUAUAGUGCAAAGAAGGGGUGAGGGAGGCCACCGAGGUGGGCUCAACCCACCUGGGUGUGCCUCUGGCGCGCCCUGGUGGGUUGUGCCCCCCUUGGGGCACCCCCCCAGGUGCAGCUCUAGCCCAUUGGGUUCCUUCCGGUCCAUAAAAAAUCCACAAAAAAUUCGUGGUGUUUGAACUCCGCUUAAUAUUGAUUUUAUGCGAUGCAAAAAACAAGCAAAAAACAUCAACUGGCACUGGGCACUAGGUCAAUAGGUUAGUCCUGAAAAAUUAUAUAAAGUUGCUAGAAAAUGAUUGUAAAACACCCAAGAAUGAUAAUAUAUUGGCAUGAAUACUUCAUAAAUUAUAGAUACGUUGGAGACGUAUCAAUCACCAAAUAUGGACUUGACUCUGAGAUAGUAGCUUCUUUCUGUGAAUCAUUUGCUACUCAUGUUGAUCUCCCUAAGGAGAAGUGGUUUAAAUAUCAUCCUCCCAUUGAAGUUAAAGUAGUUGAACUCGUUAAAGUUGAAGAAUAAACUAUUACUUAUAAUGUUGAUCCUAUUGUUCCUAUUGCUUAUAUUGAGAAACCACCUUUUCCUGUUAGAAUAAAGGAUCAUGAUAAAGCUUCAAUUGUGGUUCGUAAGAGUUAUACUAGAACACCUACACCCCCUGAACAAAUUAAAGUUGAACCUAGUAUUGUUAUGGUUAAAAAUCUCUUGGUUGAUAAUAUUGAUGGGCAUGUUAUUUAUUUCUAUGAUGAAGCUACUAGAAUUGCUAAACCUGAUAUUAAAGAUAAACAUAGACCCAUUGUUGGCAUGCAUGUUGUUUCUGUUAAAAUAGGAGAUCACUGUUAUCAUGGCUUAUGUAAUGUGGGUGCUAGCUAGUGUGAGUGCAAUUCCUUAUACCUUAUACCAAGAAAUUAUGAAUGAUAUUACACCUACUGAGAUAGAAGAUAUUGAUGUUACUAUUAAGCUUGCCAAUAGAGAUACUAUAUCACCAAUCGGGAUUGUUAGAGAUGUUGAAGUCUGAUACGUCUCCGUCGUAUAUAUAAUUUUUUAUUGUUCCAUGCCAAUAUUAUACAACUUUCAUAUACUUUUGGCAACUUUUUAUACUAUUUUUGGGGACUAACAUAUUGAUCCAGUGCCCAGUGCCAGUUCCUGUUUGUUGCAUGUUUUUUGUUUCGUAGUAAAUCCAUAUCAAACGAGUCCAAACGGGAUAAAAACUGACGGAGAUUUUUUUUUGGAAUAUAUGUGAUUUUGGGGAAGAAAAAUCAAUGCGAGACGAUGCUCGAGGGGGCCACGAGGCAGGGGCGCACCCCAGGGGGUCAGGCAUGCCCUGGACCCUCGUGGCCACCCCGUAAGGCGGUUGAUGCCCUUCUUUUGCUGCAAGAAAGCUAAUAUCCGGAUAGAGAUCGUGUUAAAAUUUCAGCCCAAUCAGAGUUACGGAUCUCCAGGAAUUUAAGAAACGGUGAAAGGGCGGAAUCAAAGAACGCAGAAACAGAGAGAGACAGACCCAAUCUCGGAGGGGCGAGACGUCAUGGAGACCAUGGACCAGAGGGGAAACCCUUAUCCACCUAGGGAGAAGGUCAAGGAAGAAGAACAAGAAGGGGGGCUCUCUCCCCCUCGCUUCCGAUGGCGCCGGAACGCCGCCGGGGGCCAUCAUCAUCACCACAAUCUACACCAACACCUCCACCAUCUUCACCAACAUCUCCAUCACCUUCCCCCCUCUAUCUACAGCGGUCCACUCUCCCGUGACCCGCUGUACCCUCUACUUGAACAUGGUGCUUUAUGCUUCAUAUUAUUAUCCAAUGAUGUGUUGCCAUCCUAUGAUGUCUGCGUAGAUUUUCGUUGUCCUAACGGUGGUUGAUGAAUUGCUAUGAUUGGUUUAAUUUGCUUGUGGUUAUGUUGCUGUCCUUUGGUGCCCGUCAUAUGAGCACGCGCGUGGAUCACACCAUAGGGUUAGUUGUAUGUUGAUAGGACUAUGUAUUGGAGGGCAAGAGUGAUAGAAACUUCAACCUAGCAUAGAAAUUGAUGCAUACGGGAUUAAAGGGGGACCAAUAUAUCUUAAUGUUAUGGUUGGGUUUUACCUUAAUGAAUGUUAGUAGUUGCUGAUGCUUGCUAAUAGUUCCAAUCAUAAGUGCAUAGAAUUUCAAGUCAGGGAUGACAUGCUAGCAGUGGCCUCUCCCACAUAAAACUUGCUAUCGGUCUAGUAACGUAGUCAAUUGCUUAGGGACAAUUUCGCAACUCCUACCACCACUUUUCCACACUCGCUAUACUAAAUUUAUUACUUUUUUAUCUAAACAGACCCUACUUUUUAUUUACGUGCACUUUAUAUUCUUGCAAACCUAUCCAAAAACACCUACAAAGUACUUCUAGUUUCAUACUUGUUCUAGGUAAAGCAAAUGUUAAGCGUGCGUAGGGUUGUAUCGGUGGUCGAUAGAACUUGAGGGAAUAUUUGUUCUACCUUUAGCUCCUCGUUGGGUUCGACACUCUUACUUAUCGAAAUAGGCUACUAUUGAUUCCCUAUACUUGUGGGUUAUCAAAGUCUUGUGUGGGAAAAUAAAAUACCCUACUGAUUUUCUUGUUCUUGCUUCCCCACAAGAUGAUUUUUGUCCCAUUAUAUUUGGUAGACCUUUCUUGAAUACUGUUAAUGUAAGAUAGACCGUGAGAAAGAAAUUUGUUAUUGUAAAUUUUGGGGAUAUGUCUCAUGAUUUUAAUUUCUCUAAAUUUUGUAGACAACCCCGUGAUAAAUAAUUGCCUAGUAAGGAUGAAAUUAUUGGUCUUGCUUCUAUUGUCGUGCCUCCUACUGAUCCUUUAGAACAAUAUUUGCUAGACCAUGAAAAUGGUAUGUUUAUGAAUGAAAGAAAGGAAUUAGAUAAAUAUUCUUUAAUCAAGGGCCUGUUUUGAAACACAAUUUGCCUGUUGAAAUCCGUGGGGAUCCUCCUCUACCCAAGGGUGAUCCCGUGUUUGAGCUUAAAAAAUUACCUGAUACUUUGAAAUAUGCUUAUCUCGAUGAAAAAAGAUAUAUCCUAUUAUUAUUAGUGCUAACCUUUCAAAGCAUGAUGAAAAUAAAUUAUUGAAAACUCUAGAGAAGCAUCGUGCCGCUAUUGGAUAUACUCUUGAUGAUCUUAAGGGCAUUAGUCCCACUCUAUGUCAGCACAAAAUUAAAUUGGAGCUCGAUGCUAAACCAGUUGUUGAUCAUCAACGAUAGUUAAAUCCUAAGAUGAAAUAAGUGGUAAGAAAUGAAAUACUAAAGCUUCUUGAGGCAGCUAUAAUCUAUCCUAUUGCUGACAGUAGAUGGGUGAGUCUCGUUCAUUGUGUCCCUAAGAAGGGAGGUAUUAUUGUUGUUCCUAAUGAUAAGAAUGAAUUGAUUCCACAAAGAAUUGUUACAGGUUAUAGAAUAGUAAUUGAUUUUCGCAAAUUAAACAAAGCUACUAGAAAAUAUCAUUACCCUCUACCUUUUAUUGAUCAAAUGCUAGAAAGACUAUCCAAACAUAAACAUUUUUGCUUUCUAGAUGGUUAUUUUGGUUUUUCUCAAAUACCUAUGUCAAAAGAGGACCAAGAAAAGACCACUUUUACUUGCCCUUUCGAUAGUUUUGCUUAUAGACAUAUGCCUUUUGGUUUAGGCAAUGCACCUUCUACCUUUCAAAGAUGUAUGACUGCUAUAUUCUCUGACUUCUGUGAAAAGAUUGUUGAGGUUUUCAUGGAUGAUUUUUCCGUUUACGGAACUUAUUUUGAUGAUUGCUUAAGCAACCUUGAUCGAGUUUUGCAGAGAUGUGAAUAAACUAAUCUUGUCUUGAAUUGGGAGAAGCGCCACUUUAUGGUUAAUGAAGGUAUUGUCUUGGGGCAUAAAAUUUCUGAAAGAGGUAUGGAAGUUGAUAAAGCUAAAGUAGAUGCUAUUGAAAAGAUGUCGUGUCCUAAAGAUAUCAAAGGUAUAAGAAGUUUCCUUGGUCAUGCUGGUUUCUAUAGGAGGUUUUUUAAAGACUUCUCUAAAAUUUCUAGGCCUCUCACUAAUCUCUUGCAAAAAGAUGUUCCUUUUGUUUUUUAUGAUGAUUGUGUAGAAGCAUUUGAAAUACUUUAAAAAGCCUUGAUUUCUGCACCUAUUGUUCAGCCACCCGAUUGGAGUUCACCCUUUGAAAUUAUGUGUGAUGCUAGUGAUUAUGUUGUUUGUGCUGUUCUAGGACAAAGAGUUGAUAAGAAGUUGAAUGUUAUUCAUUAUGUUAGUAAAACUCUAGACAGUGCCCAGAGAAAUUAUGCUACUACUGAAAAAGAAUUUUUAGCAAUUGUUUUUGCUUGUGAUAAGUUUAGUUCUUAUAUUUUUGAUUCGAAAGUAACUAUUCAUACUAAUCAUGCUGCUAUUAAAUAUCUUAUGGAAAAGAAAGAUGCUAAACCUAGACUUAUUAGACGGGUUCUCUUGCUACAAGAAUUUGAUUUGCAUAUUAUUGAUAAAAAGCGUGCUGAGAACCCCAUUGCAGACAACUUGUCUAGGUUAGAAAAUGUUCUUGAUGACCCACUGCCUAUUGAUGAUAGCUUUCCUGAUGAGCAAUUAGUUGUCAUAAAUACUUGUCGUAAUACUCCAUGGUAUGCUGAUUAUGCUAAUUACAUUGUUGCUAAAUUUAUACCACCUAGUUUCACAUGCCAGCAAAAGAAAAAAAUUAUAUGAUUUAAGACAUUACUUUUGGGAUGACCCACACCUUUAUAAAGGAGUAGAUGGUGUUAUUAGACGUUGUGUACCUGAGCAUGAACAGGAACAGAUCCUACGCAAGUGCCACUCCGAGGCUUACGGAGGACACCAUUCUGGAGAUAGAACUGCACAUAAGGUAUUGUAAUCUGGUUUUUACUGGCCUACUCUCUUCAAGGAUGCUCGUAAGUUUGUCUUGUCUUGUGAUGAAUGCCAGAGAAUUGGCAAUAUUAGUAGACAUUAGGAAAUGCCUAUGAAUUAUUCACUUGUUAUUGAACCAUUUGAUGUUUGGGGCUUUGAUUAUAUGGGACCUUUUCCUUCCUCUAACAGGUAUACACAUAUUUUAGUUGUUGAUGAUUAUGUUACUAAGUGGGUAGAAGCUAUUCCAACUAGUAGUGCUCAUCAUAACACUUCUAUUAAGAUGCUUAAAGAAGUUAUUUUUCCGAGGUUUGUAGUCCCUAGAUAUUUGAUGACUGAUGGUGUUGUUCACAUUUUAUUCAUGGUGCUUCCCAUAAAAUGCUUGCUAAAUAUGAUGUCAACCAUAGAAUGGCAUCUCCAUAUCAUCCUCAGUCUAGUGGUCAAGUAGAAUUGAGCAAUAGAUAGAUUAAAUUGAUUUUGCAAAAGACUGUUAAUAGAUCUAGAAAGAAUUGGUCUAACAAACUUGAUGAUGCAUUAUGGGCUUAUAGAACUGCUUAUAAGAAUCCUAUGGGUAUGUCUCUGUAUAAAAUGGUUUACGGAAAAGCAUGUCACUUACCUCUAGAACUAGAAAGCUUAUUGCGCAAUCAAAGAGCUCAACUAUGAUUUCAAACUUGCCAGUGAGAAGAGGUUACUUGACAUUAGCUCACUUGAUGAAUGGAGAACCCAAGCCUAUGAGAAUGCCAAGUUGUUUACAGAAAAGGUUAAAAGAUGGCAUGACAAGAGGAUACAAAAGCGUGAGUUUAAUGUAGGUGGUCAUGUUUUGCUAUACAACACUCGUUUAAGAUUUUUUGCAUGAAAGCUUCUCUCUAAAUGGGAAGGUCCUUACAUUAUCGAGGAGGUCUAUCAUUUCGAUGCCAUCAAAAUCAACAACGCCGAAGGCACAAAUCCGAAGGUGGUAAACGGUCAAAGAAUCAUACAUUAUAUCUCAGGUACUCCCAUAAAUGUUGAGACCAAUAUAAUUAAUUGAAGAAAAUAUGCCCUAGAGGCAAUAAUAAAGUUGUUAUUUAUAUUUACUUAUAUCAUGAUAAAUAUUUAUUAUUCAUGCUAGAAUUGUAUUAACCGGAAACUUAGUACAUGUGUGAAUACAUAGACAAAAUAGAGUGUCCCUAGUAUGCCUCUACCUGACUAGCUUGUUAAUCAAAGAUGGUUAAGUUUCCUGACCAUAGACAUGUGUUGUCAUUUGAUGAACAUGAUCACAUCAUUAGAUAAUGAUGUGAUGGACAAGACCCAUCCGUUAGCUUAGCAUAAUGAUCGUUUAGUUUUAUUGCUAUUGCUUUCUUCAUGACUUAUACAUAUUCCUCUAACUAUGAGAUUAUGCAACUCCCAAAUACCGGAGGAACACUUUGUGUGCUAUCAAACGUCACAACAUAACUGGGUGAUUAUAAAGAUGCUCUACAGGUGUCUCCGAUGGUGUUUGUUGAGUUGGCAUAAAUCGAGAUUAGGAUUUGUCACUCCGUGUAUCGGAGAGGUAUCGAUGGGCCCUCUCAGUAAUGCUCAUCACUAUAAGCCUUCAAGCAAUGUGACUAAUGAGUUAGUUGCGGGAUGAUGCAUUACGGAACGAGUAAAGAGAUUUUCCGAUAACGAGAUUGAACUAGGUAUAAUGAUACCGACGAUCGAAUCUCGGGCAAGUAACAUACUGAUGACAAAGGGAAUAACGUAUGUUGUUAUGCGGUUUGACCGAUAAAUAUCUUCGUAGAAUAUGUAAGAGCCAAUAUGAGCAUCCAGGUUCUGCUAUUGGUUAUUGACUGGAGAUGUGUCUCGGUCAUGUCUACAUAGUUCUUGAACCCUUAGGGUCCGCACGCUUAACGUUUGAUGACGAUUUAUAUUACAAGUUAUGUGAUUUGAUGACCAAAGUUUGUUCGGAGUCCCGGAUGAGAUGAUGGACAUGACGAGGAGUCUCGAAAUGGUCGAUAGGUAAAGAUCGAUAUAUUGAAAGGCUAUAUUCAGACAUCGGGAUGGUUCCGAGUGAUUCGGGUAUUUUACGGAGUACCAGAGAGUUACGGGAAUUCGUCGGGGGAAGUUAAUGGGUCUUAUUGGGCUUUAGUGGAGAUAAGGGAAGAAGGGCCAUGAGGUGGCGCGCGCCUCCCCCCUGCCCAAACCGAAUUGGACAAGGGGUGGGGGCGCCCCCCCUUUCCUUCUCCCUCUCCCUCCUUUCCUUCUUUCCUACUCCGAAAAGGAAAGGGAAUCCUACUAGGACUUGGGAGUCCUAGUAGGACUCCCUACACUUGGCGCACCCCUAGGAGGGCCGGCCUCUCUCCCUCCCUCCUUUAUAUACAUGGGCAGGGGCACCCCAAAGGCACACCAAGUCUUCUCUUAGCCGUGUGCAGUGCCCCCUCCACAGUUACACACCUCGGUCAUGUCGUCGUAGUGCUUAGGCGAAGCCCUGCGCUGGUAACUUCAUCAUCACCGUCGCCACGCCGUCGUGCUGACGGAACUCUCCCUCGUCCUCAACUGGAUCAAGAGCUCGAGGGAUGUCAUCAUGCUGAACGUGUGCUGAACACGGAGCUGUCGUACGUUCGGUACUUGGAUCGGUUGGAUCAUGAAGACAUUCGACUACAUCAACCGUGUUACUAAACGCUUCCACUUUCGGUCUACGAGGGUACAUGGACACACUCUCCCGUCUCGUUGCUAUGCAUCACCUAGAUAGAUCUUGCGUGAUCAUAGGUAAAUUGUUGAAAUACUGUGUUCCCCAACAUUAAUACCAUAACACCGGAGGAUUACAUAAGGGAUACUUUCCAGAACGUUUCAGACUCCAAAAGGGAAUAGGUAUGUGGUACAGUAAGUAAACCGACUCCAAAACUAUUCUAAUGGCAAUUUUCUCUGUUCUCGAAUAUUUAAAAAAUUAGGAAAAUUAAAAGUAGUCUGAAAGAUGCACGAGGAGACCACAAGGGUGGAGGGUGUGCCCUACCCCCUGGGCACGCCCCCUGCCUUGUGGCCACCUCAUGUGCCCUCCGGACUCCGUUUUCUUGCACAAUACUUCUUUUGGUCAGUAAAAAUUCAUUAUAUAAUCUCCUGAAGUUUUGACUUAUGUAUCACGGCAAAAUCCCAUGUUUAUGUUUUGAGUUGUUUCUGCAGCAGAUUAGAGCAAUAUGUCGUCCCAAGAUUCAGAGGGAGAGAGUUGUGUAGCUGAUUACAUUGCAGACCCCAAGGUCUAUGGGGAUUUGGAGCAUUAUGGUUGGACCACGGAGGAAGAAGAAGACUAUGAUCCGAAAGUAAAGAAAGCGACAAGUUCCGUUGAAGAGGAAGUCCCACUUCCCCAACCUGGGGUCAUGCAUGUGGAGUUCAAAAAUUCAAGUCUUCCUAAUAAAGCAAAGAAACCUAAGAUCAAGUUUAUCCCUUUUCAUCUCUUGCAAGAAACACAAACAGGAACUAUGUAAAAGGAUAUUAAGGCUUGAACAGGAGAUCGAUGACUUAAGGGAGGAAAAUUCUAUCCUCAAGCGGAAGCUGAGGAAGAAGGAUACCACUUCAACAACUCCAUCAUCACCGCCUCCGAAGGAAGAGACAUAAAUACAUGGGUAUGGGCACUCCCCUUGGCUUGUGCCAAGCUUGGGGGAGGUGCCCCGAUAUCGUAUCACCAUCACACCUUUACCUUUAUCGUUUUCUUAGUUCAAUCCUUUUGGUUAUAUCUUGACCUAGCAGAAUAAAGUUUUAAAUAUGAUCUAGCUUUGAGUUUUGUUUCGGUAUCUAUCUAUGUAAUCGAGUCUGUGAGUUAUAUAUAGUAAAGAGUAGUUUUGAGUUGAGGGCUUUGUUAUCUUGCUAUGAUCUUGAGGGAAUAAAAUGAAAGAAAGAAUAAAAAAGAAAAGAAGAUCAUAUAUUGAUCUUAUGGAGAGUAAUGACUUCACAUAUAAAGAGUAUGAUGAAUAACAUUUGUUGAGAGUUGACAGCCAUAGUUUUGGUCAUUGUUGCAAUCAAUAGGAAGUAAUAAAGAAAGAGAGGCUUCACAUAUAAAUAUACUAUCUUGGACAUCUUUUGUAAUUGUGAGCACUCAUUAAAAUAUGACAUGUUAAAAAGUUGAUGUUGGACAAGGAAGAGAACAUAAUGGGUUAUGUUCUCUUAUAUCCGAAUAGAAGUUAUAUUGUCGUGGAUCUUCCAACAUGUUGAGCUUGCUUUUCCCUCUCAUGCUAGCCAAAUUCUUUGCACCAAGUAGAGAUACCACUUGUGCUUCCAAACAUCCCUUAAACCAGUUUUGCCAUGAGAGUCCACUAUACCUACCUAUGGAUUGAGUAAGAUCCUUCAAGUAAGUUGUCAUCGGUGCAAGCAAUAAAAAAUGUUGUCUAAAUAUGUAUGAUCUAUUAGUGUGAAGAAAAUAAGAUUUAUAUGAACCUGUGAUAUGGAAGAAAUAAAAGCGACAGACUGCAUAAUAAAGAUCUUUAUCACAAGCGGCAAUAUAAAGUGAUGUUCCUUUGCAUUAAGAUUUUGUGCAUCCAACCAUAAAAGCGCAUGACAACCUCUGCUUCCCUCUGCGAAGGCCUAUCUUUUACUUUUAUCUUCUAGCCUUAUACAAAAGUCAUGGUGAUCUUCACCUUUCCUUUUUACACUUUUUCUNNNNNNNNNNNNNNNNNNNNNNNNNNNNNNNNNNNNNNNNNNNNNNNNNNNNNNNNNNNNNNNNNNNNNNNNNNNNNNNNNNNNNNNNNNNNNNNNNNNNNNNNNNNNNNNNNNNNNNNNNNNNNNNNNNNNNNNNNNNNNNNNNNNNNNNNNNNNNNNNNNNNNNNNNNNNNNNNNNNNNNNNNNNNNNNNNNNNNNNNNNNNNNNNNNNNNNNNNNNNNNNNNNGACAAAUUUUAUCUACAAGCGGUGGUAGUUACCACCUAAGUGUUUGCCUGCCACGUGUCUCAUUAUUUCUCCAUACUAGACGGGUUAGUGGAUGUGGGAAACCCAAUAGCAGGGUAACUAACUUGCGUCUGAUUACCAUUCGGUAAAAGAAUUAGCAAGAAAUUGCGUGCGUUAGUUUCAACAACCUUCUUUUUUAUUGCGAGGUCUUCCGAACUAACCAACUGUGUUGAAUGGAUAAGUGGCGUCAUGUACCCACGUAAAAAGCAAAAGAGACGUGUCAGUAUGGCGUGUUGCCGCAAAUACCUUGUGCAAGAAAUAACGUAAAGUAUAUUGUAUAUAAUUUGGAAAUAGCCGUAUACGGUACUUGUUUUUUCGUGUGGGGGGAUGAUGCUUGGUAUUACUAGAAAAUAGUACUGUAUAUUAUUGAUUGAGCAUAUAGUAUAUAUGAACUUUUGUUUCUAGGCAUACGGAGUAUGUAGAAUAAUCUGAGAUGGAAUAUGGUAUGGAGUUUAUACACUAUGUAGAAUAAAAAAGUAGUAUAGAGUAUGUCAGUAUGUAGUAUGGCUUCCGGAGUAUAUAUACUUCGAAUUGUCAUAUUUAGUAGGGAGUAUAUAUAUAUAUACUUUUAAUUGAAACUUAGUAUGAAGUAGCGGAUAGUAUAUGUUCAGCGUCGACGAGGAUACAUAUUACAUGAUGGUAUCUUCAAAGCCAUAGUGUACAUGUCUAUACUCUAAGGAGUAUGUAUGUGUUCCAUAUGAGGAAGUAUGGAGUAUGUAGUAUAUUUCAAAACAAAAAAUUAAGUAUGGAGUAUGUUGCAUUCAGAAAAAAAGGUCAAGUAUAAAGUAUGGAGUAUAUGGUAUUAAAAAACUAAAUUUGAAGUGUAUCUAUAAUAGCACAGAAGAGUAUGUAUCCGCCCGGCCAGAAUGAAGUGGAGUACAUGUUAAUAUCUGUCUAUUUAUAUACUGCUAAUAAUGCAUAUGGUAUUGAUUUCACGGUCCAGUAGGUGCAUCAUGCAUGCAUACGUGAUGUCAGCCAUGCAUCACAUGAAGGGGCAACGUUGACCACCGAAAACUACUCAUCUCAUCAUACAAAAAACACUGUUCAUCUCACUCGAAUACAAGUCUUGCUAUCGCUGCUCGGUCAUAUACGAUCUUGAUCGGCUCAACAUGAAAAGGAGGAUUUGAAUGGAGAGGCUUCAGUGCGUGAUGUUCUUCCAGGCUCUUCAAUGGAUCACGAAGACGGCUGCGUGGCCGGUGCGACUUCGACGCCGCCAUACUAGAGCAGUCAGCCAGUCGCUUGUCGGUCGUACUCCCGUGUUUGCCACUGCUGCCGCCAGGCCGUGCAGGUUGUUUCUACUACCACAAUAGAGCAGCCACCCAUCGGCCAUGUGCGCUCGUGUGUCCUCGCCGUCACCGUACAAAAAUCUCCUGGGUUGGUCACUGAAGGGAAUUGAGGUCAUGUAGGAUGUUGCAGCUUGCAGAUGUUGUCGGUGGUAGCAGCAGUAGCAGGUGGUACACGACGGCGGCGGCGGCGGCGGCGGCGACAAUAGCCUACCGAGUUGUCUUCCCAACACGGAAGCUUGCAUGAAAAAGAAGUCAAUUAGCAUCAGGAUGCAUGCACAGAUGUAAAUGAAAGAAUCAUGCAUGUGUGUAAAUCAAUUGCUGAGCCAUACCUUUCUGCUAGCAGGUGCACUUUUUGAUUUGGUAGUUGAGAUAGACGAGCUUGUUUUGGUUUUGUAUGCUAGAUCCAAUCCUUUUCUCGUGGGAUGGUACCCGACGUCCUGAUCCAAAUAAGUAGCGAGGAAAGAAAGGCUCGGCGGAAGCAAGAAAAUCGGGAGCUAGCUUAACUAACCCACGAAGCGGGCACGAGAAAUCCACUCAUUCCCUUUCCAUGACCCGCUAAGAAUUGCACGGAUCACAAUGCAAUCGGAUGGCACGGAGGACGGAGGUAACUACCACCGAUGGUAGUAACUAUUUUCCCUAUAUAUAUAUAUAUAUAUAUAUAUAUAUAUAUAUAUAUAUAUAUCCACUCGGAUGUAGGUUUUCAUAAAGUAUUAUUGUUGACAUUACCCUUGAGGUAAAAGGUUGGGAGACGGAACUAUAAGCCCCUAUCGUUCUCUGUGUCCGAUUGAAGCUUUGAACCCAUAAGUAUCGCGUGAGUGUUAGCAAUUGUGAAAGACUAAAUGAUAGUUGAGUAUGUGGACUUGCUGAAAAGCUCUUAUAUUGACUCUUUCCGAUGUUAUGAAAAAUUGCAAUUGCUUCAAUGACUGAGAUCAUAGUUUGUUAGCUUUCAAUGAAGUUUAUAAUUCAUACUUUACCUUGUGAAUGAAUUGUUACUUUAGCAUAAGAAAUUAUAUGAUAAUAUAUGUUGCUGUUCUAAAGAUGAUCAUGAUGCCCUCAUGUCCGUAUUUUAUUUUAUCAACACCUCUAUCUCCAAAUAUGUGGAUAUAUUUUUCGAUAUCGGCUUCCGCUCGAGGACAAGCUUGGGGAAGUUGAUAUGUCCAUUUUGCAUCAUGCUUUUAUAUUGAUAUUUAUUGCAUUAUGGCCUAUUAUUACACAUUAUAUCACAAUACUUAUGCCUUUUCUCUCUUAUUUUAUAAGGAUUACAUGAAGAGGGGGAAUGCCGGCAGCUGUAAUUCUAGACUGGAAAAGGAGCAAAUACCAGAGACCUAUUCUACACAACUCCAAAAGUCCUAAAACUUCACAGAGAAUUGUUUUGGAAUAUAUAAAAAUAUUGGGUGAAGAAAGCAUCAGAGGGGCCCACCACCCAUCCACAAGGGUGGGGCGCGCCCCCUGCCUUAUGGGCCACCUAGCAGGGGCCCGAUGCCCAUCUUUUGCUAUAUGAAGGGUUUUUACCUGGAAAAAAAAUCAGAAGGAAGCUUUUGGGAUGAAGCGCCGUUGUCUCGAGGCGGAACUUGGGCAGAACCAAUCUAGGGCUCCGGUGGAGCUGUUCUGCCAGGGAAACUUCCCUCCCGGAGGGGGAAAUCGAAUCCAUCGUCAUCAUCAAAGAUCCUCUCAUCAAGAGGGGGUCAAUCCCCAUCAACAUCUUCACCAACACCAUCUCCUCUCAAACCCUAGUUCAUCUCUUGUAUCCGAUCUCUGUCUCAAAACCUCAGAUUAGUACCUGUGGGUUGCUAGUAGUAUUGAUUACUCCUUCUAGUUGAUGCUAGUUGGUUUAUUUGGUGGAAGAUCAUAUGUUUAGAUCCUUAAUGAUAAUUAAUACUCCUCUGAUUAUGAACAUGAAUAUGCUUUGUGAGUAGUUAUGUUUGUUCUUGAGGACAUGGGAUAAGUCUUGUUAUAAGUAAUCAUGCGAAUUUGGUAUUCGUUUGAUAUUUUGAUGAGAUGUAUGUUGUCUCUCCUCUAGUGAUGUUAUGUGAACGUCGACUACAUGACACUUCACCAUGAUUUUGGCCUAGGGGGAGGCAUUGGGAAGUAAUAAGUAGAUGAUGGGUUGCUAGAGUGACAGAAGAUUAAACCAUAGUUUAUGCGUUGCUUCGUAAGGGGUUGAUUUGGAUCCAUAUGUUUCAUGUCAUGGUUAGAUUUAUCUUAAUUCUUCUUUCGUAGUUACGGGUGCUUGUGAGAGGGGUUAACCAUAAGUGGGAGGCCUGUCCAAGGAAGGGCAACACCCAAGCACCGGUCCACCCACAUAUCAAAUUAUCAAAGUAACGAAUGCGAAUCAUCUGAGCAUGAUGAAAACUAACUUGAUAACAAUUCCCAUGUGUCCUCGGGAGCGCUUUGCUUUAUAUAAGAAUUCGUUUCGGUUUGUCCUUUGCUACAAAAAGGAUUGGGCCACCUUGUUGCAUCUUAGUUACUUUUUUUACUUGUUACCCGUUAUGAAUUAUCUUAUCACACAACUAUUUGUUGCCGAUAAUUGCAGUGCUUACAGAGAAUACCUUGCUGAAAACCACUUGUCGUUUUCUUCUGCUCUUCGUUGGGUUCGACACUCUUAAAAAUUGAGAGGACUAUGAUAGAUAUCCUAUACUUGUGGGUCAUCAGUGUGCAUGAAAAUGUUGGAUUCAUGAAUGAUUAUGUCUCCCUCGUACGUAGUCGACUAGGAUCGUGUACCCUAGGACCCCCUACCUAUAUAAACCGAGGGGACGGGCUCGUGAUAAGCAGAUUCUCAUACUCACAAUCUUCUUGGUAUAGAUACUCGUACUUUGUAUGCACCCAAGGCAAUAAACACAGGCAGGACCUAGGGUAUUAUCUCCUCAAAUAGCCCGAACCUAGGUAAAACUUCAUGUAUUUGUUACCAUCGUUUAUAGGCACAUAGCUUAGGAUCCCCUAUCACGAGAGCUGCCAGUUUAGGUUCCGUCACAUUUUGCUUAUCAUGCUAUCACGUGUGGUCCUUUCCUUCUCCCACUUUUUUCCAUCACCUGUCAGUUCCUCUUUGACAUGAUGGUUUGUACAUCCAUCCCUCCACUUUGGUCCUCUUCGUCAUCCAGUUUAAUAGAUUGAUGGGAGCUAGAGCCAUAAUUUUCUUCAUCUUCUUGGUGUUGCCUUUGAGCUUCUCGGCAGUUUGCCAUUUUGGUUUCCCAUUCAAUUUCAACCAACAAAUGGGACAAUGUGAAUGACUCGCCCUCAGUUUGUUGGUACAAACUCGUCUCCAAAGCUGCAUGCCUUUGGAAUCCAAUGCAACUUUGGUUUCGGCUAACCACUUGUGUAUAGUAACCAACAAACUUGUUGACCCUCUCUUGGAUUGUGGACCAACUAUGUUGGAGAAAUACCUCAAUGCCGGUGGUAUGGAUAAGGUUCGGCUCGAUGGGGAUAGAAUGAUGAAAGAGGAGUACUCAAACAAAAAUAACCACAAUUUGAUCUGACCUGACAAAUCACUGGCACUUUGAGAACAAUUACCCAAAGCUACCACUUCUCUUUUAAUUUUUUCCUAAAAACUAUCAAGUUAGAAAAGUGAUCGAUUUGGGCUGCUUAAGCUCGAUUAUGACAUGUUGGGCCCACCGGUCAGUGUUGACGUGUCAACUGGUUAUGUUGACAGUUAUGACAUGUGAGACCCACAUGUCAAUCAAACAAAUCUAACUUCCCCCAAAAUUGAAGUUUGGAUCGAGAUCGAGCCCUCUUGUCGAUCCCCAUACUGUUGGUUGACGCUAGCCGGGCUAGCGACACGCUGGCCUGGAUGGCCGCCGAAGCAAGCUGGAUCCUCACUCUGGUCGCUGUCGGGCGGGCUGGCUGCCGUGCAGCCGGGAUGGUUGGCCGUCGAGUGGGCUGGCCUCCGGGCCACAUGAUAUUUGGUCGUCGGGCGUGCUAGCCUCCGUGCAGCCGGGAUGGUUAGCCGCCGGGUCGGCUGGCCUCCGUGCCACAUGAUGUUUGGUCGUGGGCCGUGCUAGCCUUCGUGCUGGCCUCUACAUCGCCGGUGGGAUGGCUUCCGCGCUAAUGACGGUUGUAGCACAACGGAAGAUGUAUCAACGUCAGAAAGAGUAUCAAGCAGCUCUGUCGCCCGCUGGUUGCAGCUCCGCCGAACAACAGUCGUAGCACGCGUUGCAGCCUGUUGCAGCUCCGUCAAAACGCCGGUUCGUAGCACGGGCCGCGCCGGUUGUAGCUCCCCUAAUGACAACGGUUGUAGCAUAGAUCGCCGCUGGUUGUAGCUCCGCCAAAACGAUGGCUGUAGCAGGGGGUCACCGCUAGUUGCAGCUCCCCUAAUGACGACGGCUGUAGCAUGGAACGCCGCUGGUUGCAGCUCCGCCAAAAUAAUGGUUGUAGCAGGGGUCGCUGCAGGUUGCAGCUACCCUAACGGCGAUCGUACACGGCGGUCAUAGCACGGGCCGCCGCUGGUUCCAGUUUCCGCCUUCGGUUGCAGCUUCACCAACGAUAGUCGCAACAUUCGCGGUGUCAGUUUCCAGCAUGCACAUACUGCGGUCGCAACAUUCCCCGAUGUCGGUUCUAGCACGACGGACGCAGCACAAUGGCCAUGGCCGGAGCACGGGCAGCGCGAGCACCACUCGCAACGACAUUGUCGACCCCCUCGCAGCAAAGUCGGCGGGGCCCCUAGUAGUCAAGGUUGUGUCCAUCCAGAUGAGGAAGGAAGGAAUCGGUUGGGUGGGCCCGCGAGCCACACACGGCGCGCGCGCAGAUGGACCGAUCACGCGUGAGAUCGGCCUGCCGAUCAGAAACAUUAGCCCUAGAAUCCCGAGCUCCCGGCCGUUUCAGAUCCUGAUUCAACGAGUUUCCCCCAACGACCUCCACGCCCCUCGAUCCGUCCGGAACCCGCCGCGCUCCCCUCGAUCCCCGUCCAAGCCCAGAUCCGACGGACACGGAGCCCUGGCUUCCGCAGCGAGCCCCUCCCAUAAAUUCCGCCGCCCGGGAGGGAGGGAAACUGGGAAGCAGUUGUUGAGACUCGAAACACCAGCGAUUCGGCUCGGCAGAUAGGAGGGGGGAUGGAUCCCGUGGAGGCGGAGGAGCAGCAGACGGAGCCGCCGGACGACGAGGCCUACGCCGAGGCAGAUCCCACCGGCCGCUUCAUCCGGGCACGUGCGCACGCUGUCCUCUUCCGAGUUCCUCCCUCUUGCGCGCUGCCGUUCUUACUUUGUUGGUAAAUUCUGUUCUUUAGAUUUAGAUAUAUAUCUAAUUCGUGUUUCUUUAUUGAUUGCUGCGCGUGCAGUACGAUGAGAUCUUGGGAUCGGGUGCCGUCAAAACAGUGUAUGCAUCCUUCGAUCGCUCGUCUCAUCUGCUGUUUUUCUUGCCCGUCUAGAUCGCGAUUUCGCGCUCGAUUUUGGUGGCCAGAUUCGGUCAUCUAUGAAUGAAGCACGAUAUUUAACAAUGUUUCAAUACCAUGUUAUCAACUGACCAAAUUCUUGCCUUUUAUUUUGGUAAACCUCGGCAAAUUCAUGGCAAACAUAUUUGUACGCUUUAAUCUCGCCAAUCUGUUCGCAUUGCUGCAUUACUCAAAAUUCCAACCUAUAUAUAGCCUAAGUAACUCCAGCUUUUAUUUGUCUACAAGUUUACCUAUUUAUGUACUCUUUUCUGGUUGGAAUUUAUCCCUUGGCCGUGCAAGACUGAUCUUUGUUCAUCAUGUGUUCCUUGAUGUUUAUUUUGCCAAUAGCUACAAGGCCUUCGAUAAGCUGGAGGGCGAUGAGGUCGCGUGGUGCCAAACACGGAUUGAUGAUUCUGUCAUGGGUUCCUCAGAGAAGAUGGCACAACUGAAUACGGAGAUCAGUCUGUUGAAGACGCUGAGGCACAAGAACAUUCAGAAGUUGUUUGCCUCAUGGAUUGAUGAGAAUAAGAAGACAGUUAACAUCAUCACAGAGCUCUGCACAUCCGGCAGUUUGAGGCAGUAUGUACCUUUUCUUUAUCUCCACCAGUCUGACUCGUUCGUAAUACUUUGCUUCAUUCUGUUAUGCAUGAGUGUGCUGUUGUGUGGAAAAAGUUCGAUCAAAAUUUAACCACACAUAGAGUUCACUCUUAUCGCCCUUUCAUUCUGUACAUUCUGAUCAUUAAAAUUUGGAAUGUUAACCAGGUUUCGUAAGAAGCACAACAAAGUCGGUAUGAAGGCUAUGAGAGGAUGGGCAAUACAGAUAUUGACAGGGCUGGAAUACCUUCACAGUCAAGAGCCAGCGAUUAUUCAUAGGGAUUUGAAGUGUGACAACAUAUUCAUAAAUGGUCAUGAUGGACAAGUGAAGAUUGGCGACUUUGGUCUGGCGACAUUUUUGCAUCAACGGAAAAUGAGAAGUAUCAAAGGUGUGUGACAUUGUGUUUUUCUAACAGCUACAGAUGUGUGAAAUAUAUACAUAUAUUCUGUUUACUGUAGAUUUACUCUCAAGGAUACGACACACUCACAGCGUACUUUGUUUUAGAAAUAGCAUUUUUAGGAAGGCUUGUACUAACAAGAGUUAUGUCAUCAAAAUGCAGGCACAUUAGAGUUUAUGGCACCAGAACUCUUCACUGGGAAAUACAAUGAGUUGGUGGAUAUAUAUUCAUUUGGGAUGUGCAUGCUUGAAAUGGUGACAUGUGAAUAUCCAUACAGUGAAUGCGAAGGCAAGCCAUGGAUAUACAAGAAAAUUUCUGAAGUAAGUGCUUUGGGGUCCACAAAGUACCCAUCCUUUUUGAAAGAUUAUCUAUCAAACUGCAACUGAUUUUCGUCCAAUGUUUUUUUUAUAGGGUAUAAAACCAGCUGUGCUUUCCAAGGUUGAAGAUGCAGAAGUAAGAGGUUUCAUAGAAAUCUGUUUGGCUCCGGCAGCUGAAAGACUUUGUGCAAGUGAGCUCUUAAAGAACUGUUUCCUCCAGAAAGACAAGCCUAUCCCAGCGCCUGCGCCUCCUAUUUCAGUCUCUCUGGUCUCGAGUGUGACUAAAGAUGGGCGGCAGUCUGCCAGUUUCAUGCUAUGGAAGGGUGAAUUCUCACUGAAAGGCGAUAUGCAUGUCACCGACCAUGUUAAUUUAUCACUAAGAUUUCCUGAUCCCAGUGGUAAGUAGAGCCACCCAAGAAACCUCUUUCAACCAACUUAACACUUAAUCCUAUACUGACACAUCAAAAUUGUUUCAGGUUGUUUUAAGAAUGCCGAGUUCCCGUUUGAUGUGGACCAAGAUACCAGCCUUUCUGUGGCUCUGGAAAUGGUCGACACUUUCGGAUUGCCGCAAGGGAACAUGCAGAUCAUAGCGCAGCUGAUUGAGGUGUUCUUGCUCAUCCUGAUCCCUGAAUGGGUGCCCUGCAUCGCUGUCGGACGGGUGGUUGUGGUUCCUGAGAGUGCAAACAGCCACAGCUACAUCUCCAAAAGAAUCAUGAACUGCAGGCAGCUCAGAUUGGCCGUCCUAGGAUAGUACUGUUUUCCCCAAGCUAGUGUAUCUUCAGGUUUUUUGUUUAGUCAGAUGAAUUUGGCCUUGCUUCAGCCUCUGGUGCGGCUCAUUUUACAGUGCCCACUCGAUGUGCUGCUAGACAUGGCAUUUUUCGUUGAUGAUGGUGAAAGUUAGUGCAGAUCUACUAGAUUCAUUGAUUGAGAUUUAUCAGUUGGAGGUAGUUCGAAUGUGUCCCUUUUUUAUUUUAAGUUGUUGUGUUCAAUCCAAUUUUGGAUUUUAAAUUUUUCCUGGUUUCCAGUUGAAAUUCAUGAACUUGAAUCUGUUAAGUGUGUGCAUUGCGCGCCAGCCUCUAGUGGUAUUCUUGUAACUCAUUUUGUCACGAUGUCUCUCUCAGAAGUCUUCAAAUAUAGAGAACCGAAAACCAAGUUUAUCUCCAUCAACAUAGAAUCAAAUAAAACUAUCUAUACCAAAGGAGACCAAACAUUCUCCACCCAUUAAAAACUAAAUAACCAUAAAGUGUGAGUUUACGGGUCAAAAGUGAUCGCAGGAAAGAAGUGCCUCCGUUCACAAAUAUAAGAUGUUCCCUUCGAUCUAUAUUAAUUGACACAGCCGACAAUGUUUUACAUUCUAGAGACCGUGUCAAUUAAUUUGGAUCCGAGGGAGCAACUUUUUUCCGACAGGCACGCUUUAGUGUGUUUUUUCACUCUUUAUAUACGAUGAUUACUUGUGCUAUCUCUUUUUUAUUUAUGAUACUGCAACAUUCAAUUCUCCCUGGCUGAAAUAGGUUACAUAUACACCCAAACCGACAACAACAGGUGGACCUCCUUGCUACCAUAGCAAACCGAGCAUAGAUAGAUGAGCAUCCCUCUAUAAAUACAAUCACAAAGACCAGAGCAGAUCUCCCUGCCGCUUUUGUGGAUAGCAAGUAUCCAUAUACACAUUCCGCAUAUUAGCUUAACUGAGUUGGACGAGCAACGCUGGCGUCAUGAGAUUUCGCUCCAACGGAGCAAUUGCUCGCCUACGCUCAACGCUCAUUUGUAGAUAUCUGGGCGGUGAAUAGCGACGAAUCUUCAAAACGAGUAAAUGGCCACCGAGGAAAUGCCACAUCAGGCGCCAAUUGGUAUUUGCCCGUGCUAUAGACUGGAGUGUAGCCUCAAAGGGAAUCCAUUCUCAAAAGCAUGGCCAAGUACUUCCUCAAUGCGCUUCACGAGCAGAAUCUACCAGCAGCAAAUUAAAUACAAGUCAGUGACAGACAUUUUGACGGACAAAUUACAUCCAGAGGAGAGAAACGAUCACAACAUAAUAUCAAGCGGCUUGCUAUUCGGGAUACUUUAGCUCAACACAUGAUCCAAAACUUAAUUAUGAGUCUUUUAUGCUGAAUAAUUUGUGUAGCAUAGUAGCUGAUAGCAUAUCCUCAACAAUCAAGCUGCAUAAAGUAGCAGGACCAGCAACUCUAAGCAACUAACAAUAAGCAAUGACAUACCUCAAUGCCAGCGAGGAUCGGAGCUGGAAUCUCAGCCAAGUCCUUCAAGUUUCUUUCUGGUAAUAUUACUCUCUUGAUGCCAUAUCGAUGCGCAGCAAGCACCUGAAUCCAGAGAAACUUUGAAGUUAAGUGUAGUACAAGAGCACAACAUGGUAAAUGGUUCAGCCUUCCAUCUUUCCAGAGCAACCAAGAAACACGGAAGAUAUCAGGAGCAUAAUAUAGUACCUUAUCCUUAACACCACCAACUGGCAACACUAGGCCCCUAAGAGUCAUCUCUCCUGUCAUUGCAGUGUCUGCUCUGACUUUCCGGUUACUAAACAAUGACACCAGUGAUGUUACCAAUGUCACUCCUGCAGAAGGACCAUCCUUCGGCACAGCACCAGCAGGAAAAUGUAUGUGAAUGUCACGGCUCUCCAAUAUGUUAAUAUCAGAAGUAGGUGACAGAUUGAGGUCAGCAGAUCUUGCUCUCACCUGUAAAAAUCAACCAAUGAUAUCUAAGUUAAAAACAUCACUCAACUCGAUAUGCAGAAACACACAGCUAAGCACAGUGGAGUUGAUGAUGCAUGGUUUCAACUAAGCAAAUACACUGCUGGACCUAUAAUAAAAAUUUAGAACGCCUUCAAAUGACAAUGGGAGGUCAUGCCAACACAAGUAAGAUAUGACACCAUGUAAGGGAGAUAGGUGAGAAGAAGAUGCGUACCCAUGUCAGAGCUAACUGUGCUGAUUCCUUAAUUACAUCGCCAAGUUGUCCUGUCAGAUGCAAGUCACCCUUACCCACCAUGGCCGCAGCCUCUACAAACUGAACUUCCCCACCAAAAGAAGUCCAGACGAGCCCAACUGACACUCCUGGGGAUGACACCCGAUCCGCAGCUUCUCUGUCAUCAAAUCUAGGAGGCUGCAGCACGAUGCAAUGUACCAUUGUAAGAUACAAUAACAUAAACAUAAGACAGUGUAGCUUAUCAUGAAGAAACUGAAACUUUGGUGCAUACCCCAAGCACUUUUUCUAGCAUAGCCUCAUCAACAAUCAUGGGUGAUGAAUUUUCAUAUGUAUUUGAUAUGUCCUGGCCCAUAGGAAUAACUUCCAUUUCAACUUCACCACCAUCGGCGAGUCUCGAGUCCAGUAGAGUUGUAGUUAUUGGCUGCAUUUCCUUGCCAAGUCUAAGCGUACUAUCUAGCUCUGCAACCUUGACAGCAGCUGCACGAGCCAAUGCAGCUAGGUUUCUUUCAAGAUUACGCACACCAGCUUCCCGUGUGUAUCUCUCGAUGAUAAGUUUGACUACAGCCUGGACAGAUGAAUGGAACGAAGUAAGCAUGGAUUAAUCGCGAGCUCCAAUAAAUACUCAAAUAAAAGAGAAGAUGACAAAUAAAUGAUGAGGUUAAAAGCAGUCCAUCGUAACUUGUAAGAACUGUUGUAAGUCAAUGAAUCCAAUGCUAUUCGGUGCAACACAAACAGUUGAAGACUCCAAACACAUUGGGGUGAACCUUUGUUCACAGCACGAUAAGUAUUAGGAAAGACCAGACCCGGCUUGAAUCGGACUAGUGCAUUAAAGCACAUGCAAGACUAUCUGGCUUCAACAGGCUGAACCCUGCCCUCCAAAAAAAUCAAAAAUUAAUUUUAUUACUACUAAUCAGGUCCAGCCCGUUAGCCCUUCUACUGACCAUGUCCACAAGCCCACACACAAUGUUCUGUGCACGAACAGCCAGGCGAUGCUAUACGAUGCUGGCUCACUUGCGCCUGGCCAUAAGCACGCUGAGUCGCCAAAGCGAUUCAUUUGCUAAGAAAUACUUGUGAGUUUGUAAAAAUAAAACCAGACAGCCGGCUGCUACUACUACACCAGUAGCAUAUCACGCGUGCGGGUACUUUCUUUAAUAUUUAUUCUAGCUUUGUGAAUCUAACUAAAAAGGGAGAGUAAACAGUUUGCUUGUCACAACAUAAAUGUUCACGUGCAUAUAAAAAUGUCCAUGUAAUUUUCAAGUUAGGAGAACAAUUUUUUUAUAAACACGUGAUCUUUUUUAAGAAAAAGUGUUUAUGGAAAAGCGACAUAUGGCAAUAUCACCCGCAAACCACAGCCGUACCAGCAACCACGUGCCGCCGCUAACCUAGCAGCAAGCGACAGCUAGCGGUGGCGGUCGUUGGUUGGAUUGGGGAUUAGGGAGCAGGCGAGCAGCUGAGUUGGGUGGGGUCUGCAGGAGCCCACUGCCUGCUAGCAAUAGGGGGCGGGGGCGCACAAAAAGGAGGAGCCACGAUUUGAACUGAAUAGUUGAAGUGGGCGCAUUGGCAAAGUGUUUUUUUCAAAUCCUCAAACCAAUUUGCUAAGCCGAUAACACUAAUAUCUACUUGUCCAUUGUAAUUACUAGUUAUGGGUUAUUAAUUGAUUUAAUGUCCAGUGCAACUUUGUAGAUUUGCAGAAGUGAAGAGAAAUAACAUGACUAUACACAAUUUUUAUGCAGGUAGCUCAAGCACUCCUCAAGAUUUUGAUAAUUUUUAAAAUCCAAGAAAUACAAUUGUGCCCGGUACUAAUCUGGGAAAGUUCAAGCUGAUUUGCACUAUAUGAUUAGGAGAUAAUGGCUUCUCGUUAAAUAGAUCCAAAUUUUGUUUUAGUAAAGCAUUUAGAAUAAUCACAUUAACUUUGAGCCUAGCCCUCCACUUUUUUCCUAGAUUCACCACUGCAUUAAAGGGUAGUUAGACCUUUUCGCUUAUACCUAGUUAUUCAUAUGAGUAAACCCAACUAACAAGGAAGCAAGUUAUCAAUAUCUUCACUUGUCAAUAAACUCUGCCCCAGUGGCACCCUCAUAAGCUGUGCAUGUGCUAUGGUGACAAGCAUUAGGAAGUAGUUUUAAGUUUCCAUUUUUUUUAUCUAUGGAGCCCAAAAUCCUACUGGUAUCACAUCUUCUCGUUGUUAGAAAAAAGACAGCACAGAUCAAUUACACACACUGUAGUUUCAUUGGUGCAUUCAUUACCACAAUAGAAUAGCAUAAGUACACUGCACUUGCCAUUAUAUAACUGAAUUUAAUGUGUUUAUUUCUUCCAUUAAAAACUUCAUUUUGUGUGCCAAGGAGGGAAAUCACCAUUCACUAGCCUAAAUAUCUUCUUGCUUCAGAGAGAACUGAAAGUAACAUAGCAAAAGCAUUCAACAGGAUCAUUUAUUUUUACUCUUCUAACAGAUAUUUGUGAGCAAUUCGCACCUUGCUUGUCAUGGGCUAUAUAAAUAAAAUAGUUAACAGAAAAGAAAUGCAGCAGAAGACAGUCCUUGUGCCAUACCUCAGGAAUCUGAAGAUAUGCGGAGCUCAAGCCAUGCUGUUCCAAUACCCUUGGUAGGAGAUGUUUCAUGGCUAUUUUCAGCUUUUCUUCAGGCGUGUAGCCUGGUAACUCAAUGACUUCCAUCCUAUCUAACAGGGCAGGGGGAAUAGGUUGCAUCCUGUUGGCAGUUGCAACAAAUACAACCUUUGACAGGUCAAAUGGAACAUUCAAAUAGCUGGUAAAAAAUGUGUUAAGGAAUUUUAAACAUAUAAAAUAAAGAUAGUAGAUCAGAUAGCAUAGUCUAUUUUCCAACAUAUUCUGUGAUGUGCGUCAGAGUUGUAAAGUAACCCAAAAACAUAGCCUCUUAGAAAGAGCGGGGGAAUAAAAGAGGUUGCCAAUAUGUGCCAAUCCCAAUACUCGUAGUGAUGGCAGUAGAAGGUACUCAGAAGUGAUAACACUGAAUAGCCAAUAUGUGCCUAAUCCCAAUAAACAUCUUUUAGAGGAUUGAUUCUCAAUUUCACUAAGAAACUAACCAACUAAUCAUAAGAUGCACUUGUUACACAAAUAAAAUGAAAGGAUACUGGUCAUUGAAUGUUUUGUUCUGCUCAGGGUCAAGUACUUCUAGCAGUGCUGAUGCUGGAUCCCCACGUACAUCAGAACCAGUCUUGUCAAUUUCGUCAAGGAGCAUCACUGGGUUGUUGACAGAUACCCUCUGCAUUUUUAUUUCAACAAUAUAUCAGCAUGAUUUAAUCUGGUAGUAGCACAACUCUUUUCUUGCAGCAUUCAAAGGAAAAAAAAAACCGCAAAAAGGUCAUUAGGCCCAGCUUUAUAGCAAGCUAAAAUAGGCAGUACAAUGGGGUUGCCAGCUUAUUGGGGAAUUUAAAAUCAUAUCAGUGAUAGGUAUACGAUGAGUAGAUUCAUUCAAUGGAAAGCAACUUGGAGUUAACAGCAGAAAUUUGCUGUACUGACUGGACACCCAAAAAUAUCUUGUAAUGGCUGUUACGCUAUUAAUCCAAGACUAACUAGAUUACAAGAACAAAUAGGGUAGUUUAUACUUUAUAGUUUAUAGUAAAGGAUACAUUAACACAUAUAGCAAAUUUGGUCCUCCAAUGUUAGAUAAUUCUAAAAUGAGAAAUAGAACGGGAUUAACCUUUAGUCCAUCAAUGAGGCGCCCUGGCAUGCUUCCAAUGUAUGUUCUUCGAUGGCCCCUAAUAUCAGCCUCAUCCUUUACACCACCAAGAGAGAUUCUUAUGAACUUCCUAUUUAGGGCCUUUGCUAUGGAUGUAGCCAAAGAUGUCUUUCCAACACCAGGUGGCCCCACAAAACACAGCACUGGACCUCUGGCAUCCGGUUUGAGCUGCAAGCAGAUUAAUGCAUCUCCAUGAGAUAGAAUAAUUAGGAUAGGCACAUAAAAAGAUCAUGUAGAAGUCAAGUUACCAACCUUACGGACAGCCAAAUACUCAAUAAUCCUUUGCUUAACUUUGGUCAGCCCGUAAUGAUCACGAUCAAGACUCUCCUUUGCAGCUCUAAGGUCAAGUUCCCUUUCUUCACUUACUUUUUGCCAAGGAAGGUCCGCAAUAAGUUCCAAAUAAGCUCGAGAGCUACUAUAUCCAGGUUGCUGAGGUUGCAUCUUCCUCAAGCGCCUGCAAUCAAAGACUAGCUGGAUAAAAAGACCUCUUGUACCACAUGUAAGCACGUUAAAAAGGAUAUGAAUAUGAUAGUUACCUCAACUCCCUUUGGGCAUGCUUCCAAAUAUUAGCUGGCAUUCCUGCAUUCUGCAUCUUCCUUUCCAAUGCAGCAAUGUCAUCUUCAUCAUCAUCAUUAUCACCAAGUUCGUCUUUGAUAGCCCUCAUCUGCAAAACUGGGAGGGUCAUCAUCACAUUGGAAAUAGAACUUUAUGCUGCACAAAAGACCAUGGGUACCAAACUUGCCCAACUCAACUAGGACAAUAUCCUCUAUAAGAAAAUGAUCGUUUCCAUCUUAUAUAUCUUUAUAGAUAUCUAGAAAUACACAUGCUGGAAUGUGAUUUCAGUUUCAGUUGAUCAAACAUUGAAAAUAUGGAGAGAAAAACAAACCUGCUGGCGCAGCAGAAAUUCUUUUUGGGAUUUUGAUAGCUGCCCCUCCACCUUCUGUGUUAUUUUCUCCGCUACAAGAAUUGACUGUCCAUUGCAAAGAAUAAACUUGAGAGAACUAUCAAAUAAAUAAUUCACACAGAAAGCAAACUUACUAAAGCACAAGGAACCUUAACACAAGUUAUAACUAAUUCACAAAUCAUAGAGUUUCUUGAUCAUCACCUGCAGGUGCCUGUCUACAAGUUCUGUUGCCUUGGAAAGUCUCACUUUCAAGUCAACUGAAUCCAGCAUAGCAAGCUGCUCCUCAAAGCUUAUUUCAAAGCUAGCAACAAAAAUAUCAGCUAGCCUGUAUACAGGAACUGUCUCAAGUAGCACCUUAGUCCUACCAACCGUCUUCUGCUUCUGCAAAAACAACAGAAAAAUAUUAAGCCAAAAUUCACUGAUAAGUAGGGUUUUGGCCUUUUAGGGUACCCAGACCAAGUGAUAAUUUUGAGCAAACAAAAGAUAACCAUUAAUGAUCAUGAAAAGGUGCCUUUUACGGUUUUGAUAGGAAGUCAGGAAAUCUUUGCUUGCGUCAUUACUACUAGAUUCGUGAUCUUCAAAAUUUAGCAAUCUUCAGUUCUCCCCAUUAGAUCUCCCUAUUACUCGGUGCAAUCAUAAGAAACCAAACCUUGAAAUUUAGCGGUAAAAGGAUCAUCAAGCUCUCCUUGAAUUUCUUACCUGCUCUAAGACAGAAAUUAGUUCCAUGGCAGUUGCUUUAAAUUGCCUCGAAAGAGCAAUUAGAUCUGGGUCUUGCUCUGCCUGCUCCAACUCUAGGAAACCAAAGACACAAUAGUAAUGUAAGCCCCCAAAUGUAAUAUAUCUAACAAAGUUUUAAAACGCAAAGCAGCUACAUGACCACAUAGGUUUUGCACUACACAACAUCUUUUAGAUUCUUCAUGAGUUAAUAAAGAAUGUCACGAGAAGAAAAUUAUACUAUGUUAACAAACCAUCAACAUCAUCAGGCCAGAGACAGCAGAUUGACAGAUUCAGAAAAAAGGUGAUACAGACAGUGGCUACCAGCCUUUGAUGAUGAUUGUGUAUGAAAUGGUGAGAAAAUGUGCACACAUUUUUUCUUUAAAAAAAGGCCUUACCAGUCUUUGUCAUGUCAAGUCGUGAAACACGGGCAACAUGAUACGACCCUCUUGCAUUGAGUUCUUCAACACUGAACCUACAUAAGCCUUCAAGAACAACAAUGUAUGUAACCCUUCCACUUGGUUUCUCCACCCCUCUUGAAAGGUGCAGAGCUCUAGCAGCAACUCCCCUGUACAUGGAAGGAGUGAAUGUGAAGACAAAUUUGGAUUAAAAGAAUGCAUAAGGGAAACAGGAACACCACAAAUGUAAGAUGUAUCUACUAUACUUCUAACAUAUGAAAAUAUGAUUUAUGUGCUACAUUUCAUAUUUCAUCAGUUUGUGUAAUUAUAGAGAUCCAACACAUCCUAGGGUUAUAGCCAAACCAUUUCUAGAACAUAGUGAGUUCAGAAAUAAAAUAAACUGAAAACAUAACUGGCACAUGCAAUGCGUGCAACGACUGGGAAACUGAAUGCAGGGUGGAAAGUUGUACCACAAAAAACUGAAGUAUCUUAUUUCAGAUGGUUAAUAUUUAGAGAACAAGUAGAUCACAUGGAAGAUAUGUGAAGCUCAUGGAAGAUAUGUGAAGCGCCAACAAGAUAACGAACAGCUAAAGGAAAGUUAUCCGGGAGCUCGAAGCAACAAAAGGUUAACUUAUAAGUACGAAUAUAUGUAUUUAAAGUGCACCCUCCUGCCGAAGAAGAUUUGGUUGCUAUCAACCUAUCUUGGCAUUGUUACUUUAUCCAAUCUCACCGCAGGAUAAUGCAUUGUCGCACUACCAGUAGCCACACAAGGCAUAGGCAGUAAAGAAUAAACCAAUGCUUACAUUAUUUUUCAAAUGUUCAUAGAAUGAAAUAUUGCAUGCCAUGGUUAUAUUUGCGAACAGCUCACUCCAUGUCAAAGCUCCUAUCAUGUUUGAAGCAGGCACUACUUGUCAUAUUUGAAGGCUUUUUAUCUUCGGAACUUGGUUCACGGGUAAAAUACAUAUGUGAUUAGCAAACGCUGAUACCUACCGGCUGUGCCAGUGAAUGGGCUCCUUCCAACUCUUUGCAUCCUGUUUGGUUGACUCUCCCCCAGAACCACCAGGCGACCUGCGGCCUCCUUCACCUGAAUCACUGCCCACGCCUACGAGAGCAAGAGCAGUUCCAGUAAGAAAAUGCAGGUCCACAAUUUCUACAAAGUGGCUCCUCUAACUGAACAAGGAGCUGCAAUCUCUAUCUCACCAGGCGACAGGAUCGAACCAACAGCUGCAGCCUCCGAGUCCCGCACAGGAAGAACUCCGAUCAGACCCUUGUCCUCCCUUUGCCAGAGCUCCUGCUCCACCAGCUUGACACUGCAGGCCAAAACAACCACAUUGAUGGAGUCAAAAUCCAAACCAAAAGGGCAUAAUAUUCCCCUCCCAGCAAGUCAACACACGCCAACAUGCCACACCAACAAGGGAAAACAAAUCCAGUAACCCCCCUUGACAAAACCGCACCUAGAAGAUUCGAACACUGAACGACUGGUGGGUAAUUGGAGGCUGAAUUGGUCAGCCGUAAAAGUAGGCAACACGCUGGAAAAUCCACCUCGAGACCAACAAGAGCACCAAAAUGCACCAAGAACUUUUAAAUUUCCACAUCAAAGGUGGUUGUCACCAGGGUAAAAGUUGAUUAAUCAUUGAUAAUGGUGGAGACAAACGGAUUAGUACUACACAGCAAUACUCCAGAGCAGAAGAGAAGGGGGCAGAAAUUCUACUUGAACCACGCAGGUUACAGUUAUUAGUUCCAAAAAAUUACUCUGGAACAGAAGAAAGAGGCGUCUAAAAUCCGGAGGCAGCUAGCUCGCUGAUGCGUUACCAAAUCCGGCUGAUCGCUCCGGCGGAGAAAACCUAAGCACGGGGAAUCAAUCCCCUCGCCCCAGCCCUCCUAUACCUUACAGCGCACCAAAAUUAGGCCCCGAAACCCCCAGGCGCGAGCUCUGGAAGGCCAGCGGAAACCAAUCGGCGCACGCCGGAAUCGCUCCCCGCCCCGCCCCGCCCCGCCCGGCCCACCCACCACUGACUGACCUGCUGGGGUUGGUGCAUCGGAUCCGCACGAUGGCGCCCGGGAGGAGCACCUUGUUGCGGAACGGCAGUAUGGCGAGCCGGCCCGGCAGCUCCACCGGCGCGUCCGCCAUGGCCGCGGCGCGCGCGCAGGCAGGCAGGCAGGCAGUGGUGUGCUGUGUACGGCUGGCGGAACAGGAAUUCGGGUGGAGGAAUAGAUAGAAGAGAACAAAUUGAGAGGGGUGGGAGACGACGGGGAUAUUUAUGUGUGUGUAGGAGAGGCGAGGCGAGGGGCGCACGAGUCAAUGAUGGGCUGCUGGUGCGGGCGGGCGGGCCCGCCUGCACCGUGGGGCCCGGGCGUCGGCGACGGGCGGGCGGGGCGUGUGGACGUGGCGGCCCCGUGGAGAUAAGGCUGGUUGGCGCCGCCGGACCCGGUGCGUGGCCGGCCCGGACACGUGGGCUCGGGGCUCGGCCGGCGUGCGCUGCGGUUCGGACCGCCGUGGCGGCCGGGACACGGCCGGGUUUGGCGAUGGACGGUGCGGNNNNNNNNNNNNNNNNNNNNNNNNNNNNNNNNNNNNNNNNNNNNNNNNNNNNNNNNNNNNNNNNNNNNNNNNNNNNNNNNNNNNNNNNNNNNNNNNNNNNNNNNNNNNNNNNNNNNNNNNNNNNNNNNNNNNNNNNNNNNNNNNNNNNNNNNNNNNNNNNNNNNNNNNNNNNNNNNNNNNNNNNNNNNNNNNNNNNNNNNNNNNNNNNNNNNNNNNNNNNNNNNNNNNNNNNNNNNNNNNNNNNNNNNNNNNNNNNNNNNNNNNNNNNNNNNNNNNNNNNNNNNNNNNNNNNNNNNNNNNNNNNNNNNNNNNNNNNNNNNNNNNNNNNNNNNNNNNUGCUUUCGGGGUGCUUGGAGCACGUGAUGGAUGUUGGUUCAUUGCCUUUGCGGCCCCGUUGCUGCCACGUGAGGGCGAGGCGGCCCCAUGGCUUGCGAUCGUACGGUUGGAUCAGCGCGCGUGUGUGGUUUUGCGUUGCGUGUGACGCAGAGGGACCGACUUCUCCAACGAUGCCAAGGCUUCUUGAUCAAAACAAUAUACACUCAGGUUGUGGAGUAGUGCAUAGCUAAAACGUUAGUGUUCUGAGUUUUAAAAAAAAAGUAACUUCAAAUCUUCGGGAUUUAAUGCUAAAAUAUGACGUUGGAUUUUUAACAUUUGCCUUAUUUAGUUUAUUUGUUGUUACACAUAACUUACAGUUAGCAUUUUUCCGAAAAUGAACCGAACAAUUGUUGUUGUUGUUGUUGUUGUUGUUGUUGUUGUUGUUCGAAAAAACCACUGGAUCUCUUGUAAAAGUUUAUCAGAAGUACGAAUUCCCAAACAAUAAAAAUUACAUCGGGAUACUUAGACCACCAAACAACUAAUACUACCACCAGAAUGAGUUGCCGACGCGUCGUCGCUUCCUUACCAGAGCCGGCCUGACCUUGUCGAUGACAGUCGAGAAGUCUUCGUGCACGUGCCCUUAAGGACCAGCGCCCUAGAGCAGCAGUCGUCGUCUUUGAACCCUUAAAUUGAUCUGAGGUACUUGACACCAUAACUCCUUGCCACACAUGCACGACGAGAAGCCCUAACCUCACCAUCUCAUGGAGACAGCAGGAAUCUACACCGGACCUCUGUCAAUUCCGUCAAGAUGGAUGAACUCGAGGAGGAUAAUGGCCACGAAGACCUACUCGAUGAAGAAGCGCCGGCAUCCGCCCAAACACCGCCCUGCGAGGACUAAAACCCCUAAACCUAGACUACUAGCCAUAGAAGAGGCAUCGGGAUUCUCAUCCCCACCACCGGCCACCAGAGCGGCAGCCAGGGGGGGGGAGGGGACGAAUCCACGGGGCUCUCUGGUGGUGCUUAGAGGGGAGUUGUAAACCCUAGCCGUCGCUAGGCAAAACGAACGCUUCGUAAAGUGACCUAGUAUUUUUGUUGUCGUAAUAGUUAUUGUCUGUAAUUUAUGCUUAGAAAAUUGUGGUUACUAAAAGUGGCUAGUUACAUAUGGGAUGUUUAGUUGUUGCCCUAGAACGCCAUGCCAAAUCGUGGGUGUCGCAGGCGCACCAAAAAUUUGGUGGCCAAAUCAAGUUUCACCAAUGAAUUGACGCAGAAGUACAGAGGAAAAGGCAGGGUGAGUUGACGAGCCAACACUUUGGAUCCCAGUCAAAUAAGUUGCAGCAGUGCUUUGGACAACGCCAAAAUAUUGGUUGGGCGUGCAGGGGAUCCAAUUCUAACAGCCCCAUAUACUCCCUCUUUUAGUGACCUAAAAUGUCUUAUUGAACUUUACAGAGGCAGUACUAUCUAUUUUGUUAGUCAUCUAUAUACUCCCUUCGUUCUUAAAUAUUUGUCCUUUUAGAAAUUUCAAAUGAACACCAUAUACAGAUGUAUAUAGAUAUAUUUUAAAAUAUAGAUUCACUCAUUUUGCUUCGUAUGUAGUCACUUGUUGAAAUCUCUAAAAAGACAAAUAUUUAGAAACGGAGGGAGUAGUAUUUAUGAAUAGGUUUCACUAGGUAGCGACCUAAAAUGUCUUAUGAAACCUUACAGAGCCGAGGUAGUACUAUCUAUUUUGUGGGUCAUGUAUAUAUUGUUUAUGAAUAGUUUCAGUAGUGUAUCACUACAAAGAUACAUGUGUCUAUAGUCUGUAGACUAUUGUAUAUACGUACAUACAUACAUACAUACACACGUGCCUAGUGUAGAGAAUGAUGGCACCCUUACCUCAUCGGGGACCAAACCCAGUGGCGUCACGUACAUACAUGCAUCUCCUACGAACGCCGGGCUAAUCGCACGAUCUCUCUGACACCGACUAAUCACACAGACAAAUCCCAAGUCGUUGCCCGAUCACCUACGCUCCUACGUGUUGAGUAUUCCCACCACCAGGCGGCGGCACCCCGGCCCCUCGUGGAUAUACUCGCGGCUGCCGCGUGCACAGUGUUCAUACGUACGCACACCCCCUACCUAAUUAAGCAAAUCCGCACGAGGGUUAAUGUUAAUUUGGCGCCAAACCGACCGAUUCAGACGUGGAAAGCCUUUUAGAAUCCACGAGAUAUGUAUGGAUUAGUUAACCGUCGACCCGGACGAUGUCCAUGGCCGCACGGGCACGGCGAAGACCUGGGCAAGUCUACGGGCUCAGUCUCAGUGGGAACGUUGCCCCGAUUAAGUAACUAACCACUUUCCCGCUUGCUUGCUUAUCCACGGCCGCAAAGCAAGCACGGCCCGUUCACGGCAACGAUCGCAACUACGCGUACUCGCCGUGUAUCUCGUGGUCCAAAUGCCAGGGAUCGUUUGGAUAUAUUAGGGCCUCUCCGCUCUCAAACCUACCGCAACCGUUUCGAUCGUGCUGUCUGCCACAAAAGUCAUCUAACGCGGUUCUCUAUUGGUCACCGACAUGGUCCGGAUACGAUCUCUCUUGUAAACCGAAGGCAAACGAAGGGGAAGGGGGGAGGGGGGGCUUUGAGGGAAGUCCGAAUCGAUCCCACACCCACUUCUGACCACCCCACUUCUGACCACCCAGCUGACCCAUCAAAAACCUCUCACCCAUCCCUUCCUUCCGAUACAUGCACCGCGUUCAUGUCGGCACUAUGCAGCGAUGUGACCGAAGGGAGAGAGGGCGGCGCUGACCGACACCACCUCUUGGCAGCUGCCACUUCAAUGAAGACGCAGGUUCUUAAGAAACCAACUCCUGCCGAGGCACAACAUUGAAGCGGCUGCCCGGCCGUUCGCAUGGCUUGGCCGCGGCUAUAUAAGCCAUGCUUCGGCGCCGUCCACAUCGCAUCCUCCUCCUCCUCCCCUUUUCUCGCCCAUCUCUUUCCACAUCUCUGAUCGGUGGGCAAGUUAUGAACGUCGACGCCGGAAGGCGGUUCCGAAGCGGGAUCUGGCGGAUGCCGCCCUCAAACCUUCGGGGCCGUCGUUAUCGUGGUCUCCUCCAGAUACACAUUUCUACUCCAUCCACUUAAACCUUGCCGGACCCCAUGCAUUCUACGCUGGCCGCGUCCGUAGCGUAGCUGAUCUGGGUCAGCGCAGCGGACGGUCGCGCGGAUCUCGAUCCUGGAGGCGUUGGAGCACGUGACCUGGGGCAUAUUAUCAGAUGAGUGAAGUCUAUUUUAAAUCUUGAGAUUGUAGAGCAUGACGCAAAUGAACCCUCACAUCAAAAUCCCUAAAAUUGGUACCCUAUACUACUGUUAUGACCGGCCAGGUCUAUGGCCGCCGGGGGCCCACUGGGCAGGCUUAAGGCCCAAGUUAUCUUAGUUUAUUUUCAGAUUAUCAUUAUAUAUACAAGCUGUAAGACUAUUUUGAGGAUUAAGCAAUAAGACUAUUCUAUUGCCCGGCUCCCAGAGGAGCCGGAACCCUAAACCCUAGCCCUCUCUCUCUCCUGCGCUGCCGCCACCCAGCCGCAAGGACGGCGCCUCGCCGCCGGCCGCCGCGCUCUAGCCCACGCCCCGCUCCCUCCUUUCCCUACCACCUACGAUCUAGAGGAGCCCGAACCCUAGCUCCUAACACCUUGGUAUCAGCCAGCUCUGGUUCGACCAUGUCAUCCUCACCAUCAUCGUCGUCGCUGCCCGUGACCACCACCGCCGCGUCAGCGCCCCUCACCACGGGGUCGCUGGUCCUCCCGUCCGCGUCGCUGGACCUCAUCCCCGGCGCAUCCCACGACCAUCCGCCGGCCCCCAUCACCACUACGCCGCCGUCGCCAUCAAAUCUACCGGCCCACUACACCCCGGAGGCCAUGGCGGGGGUCCUCAACGACUUGGUCGUCGCGGUCCAGGGCAUCCGGCUCUUCCUGGCCAGCCCGUACGGACCGCCACAGCCGGCCCCGCCGCCUGCGCCCUCCGGGCCGCCGACGCUCCCGUGGCACUCGGUGCCUGCCGCGCUCGCCGGCGGCUACCCGGCGCUACAACAGCCGGCGGCUCCAGCGCCGGCCUGGCCACACUGGCCCGCGCCAGCACCCGCGGCAUCGGCCGCAUCCGCCCCAACCCCGUGGCCGGUCUGGUCUACCCCGGCCCACUCCGCGCUGGCUGCGCCGGCCCCCACGCCGUCUCCACCGCCUACCGCCGGCCUGAGUCAGGGCCCUUCCGAGGGGCUUCUGAUACAGCAGGUGCGGUUUCCACCGUCGCCCUCUCCGAUUCCGGCUUGGCUCACCGGAUUGGCGCCACCGCCGGUCUACACGGAGGCCGGCGAACCGGCGGUGCCCACGCUACAGUUCGGCGCGCCGUCCUCGGCCCUUCGCAUCGACGAACCGGUGGGCACUGGCGCAUCGACCCCGACACCACCUCGCUUUACCCGGAUCGACUUUGCCACGUAUGAUGGCUCGGAGGACCCUCUUAACUGGUUAAACCAGUGUGAUCAGUUCUUCCAGGGACAACGCACACCCACGUCCGAGCGCACUUGGCUCGCGUCAUACCACCUCCGGGGUGCCGCCCAGACAUGGUACUACGCCCUCGAGCAGGACGAGGGCGGCAUGCCCCCUGGGAUCGUUUCCGCGAGCUGUGUCUCCUUCGCUUUGGUCCGCCACGGCGCGACAGCCGCUUGUCCGAGCUGGGCCGCCUACCCUUCACCUCCAUGGUCCGGGAUUUCGCCGACCGCUUCCAGGCUCUGGCGUGUCACGCACCAGGGGUGACAGCACUACAUCGGGCUGAGCUUUUCGUCGGCGGCCUUCCCGACCACACCCGCGUGGAUGUCGAGAUGAAGGGACCCCAGGACCUGCAGACGGCCAUGUACUACGCGCGGGCGUUCGAGCAGCGCGCCCAGGCCUUAACACGGCGCGCACCACCUCGGGGGAGCUGAGUGCCUCCACGACCACCGCCGGCCGCACCAGCUUCUGCAGCCGCCUCACCGACGGCCAUUCCGGCCGCGACGCGGCCCUUUCGGCGCCUCUCGCAGGCCGAGCAGCUCGAGCGCCGCCGCCUGCGGCUGUGCUUUAACUGUGAUGCGCCCUAUGCCCCGGGCCAUGUCUGCUCGCGCCUCUUCUACUUGGAGAUAGUCGACGAGACCGAGAACGCUGCCACCGACGAGGGACUCGGCGAUCCAGCCGCCGCCGAGGUCGCGCCGGCACCCGCGCCCGCGCCGGCUACGGCCCUUGUCGUCUCCCUCCACGCGUUGGCCGGCAUCCGCAAUGCGCGAACUAUGCUUAUUCCGGUCACGAUCCACGGCGAGACUCUAGUGGCUCUCUUAGACACGGGCUCUACACAUAACUUCCUCCCGGAGUCUACUAUGCGGCGCCUUGCCCUACAGCCGACGGGAGGGGAGCAGCUGCGGGUCACCGUCGCUAAUGGCGACCGCCUCCGAUGCCAUGGGCUCGCUCGGGACGUUCCCAUUACUAUCGGCGAAGAGCUCUUCACCAUCACAUGUGUCGGCAUCGACUUGGGCUGCUUCGACUUCAUCCUCGGCGUCGACUUUUUACGGACUCUCGGUCCCAUCCUUUGGGAAUUCGACGCCCUGAUGAUGACCUUCUGGCGCCUCGGCCGCCGCAUCCGGUGGGAGGGCAUUGGUGGCGCCCCGGCGUUGCCCCCACUCCAGCUAGCCGCGGCCACCAUCGAGGCCGAGCAUCCGCUGCUGGAUCACCUCCUGCAGCAGCACGGUGAUCUUUUUGCGGAACCCCAGGGCCUUCCGCCGGCCCGGGUCUACGACCACCGUAUUCAUCUCCUGCCGGGCUCGGCUCCGGUGGCAGUACGACCCUACCAGUACCCUCAGUUGCAGAAGGACGAGUUGGAGCGGCAGUGCGCCAUCAUGCUUGCCGCGGGCAUUAUCCGUAUCUCUACAUCAUCCUUUACGGCGCCGGUCCUCCUUGUCCGUAAGUCGGAUGGCACUUGGCGCUUCUGCAUCGACUACCGCGCCCUUAAUGCUCUCACACUUAAGGAUAAGUUUCCUAUUCCGGUGGUUGAUGAACUCCUGGAUGAGCUACAUGGUGCGCGCUUCUUCACCAAACUGGACCUCCAGUCAGGGUAUCAUCAGGUGCGCAUGCAUCCCGACGACAUCGCCAAGACGGUGUUCCGGACCCAUCACGGCCAUUUCGAGUUCUUGGUGAUGCCCUUUGGCCUCGCCAACGCCCCGGCGACAUUUCAGGCCUUGAUGAACGAUGUCCUCCGGCCCUAUUUACGUCGGUUUGUGCUCGUUUUCUUUGAUGACAUUCUUAUCUACAGCGCCUCUUGGGCAGAGCACCUCCAGCAUGUGGCCAUCGUCUUCAACGAGCUUCGGGCGCAUCAUCUUCAUCUUAAGCGCUCGAAGUGCUCGUUCGGGACACCUUCGGUCGCUUACCUCGGCCACGUCAUCUCGGCCGAGGGUGUGGCCAUGGACGCCGACAAGGUGGCGGCCGUCGCCGCCUUGCCCAUUCCGCAGUCUCCGCGGGCUCUUCACGGCUUCCUUGGUCUUGCCGGGUACUACCGGAAGUUCAUCCGGGAGUUUGGCCUUAUCGUGGCCCCGCUCACGCGUCUCCUCCGCCGCGACGCCUUCUCUUGGGAUACGGAGGCCACUUCAGCGUUCGAGGCCCUCAAGGGGGCCCUCACGACGGGACCCGUACUGCAGAUGCCAGACUUCGACCUUCCCUUCACCGUUGACUGUGACGCUUCCGGUGCGGGGUUUGGUGCGGUCCUGCACCAGGGCGAUGGACCCCUCGCCUUCUUUAGCCGCCCCUUUGCUGCUCGCCAUCUUAAAUUGGCGGCGUAUGAGCGUGAGCUCAUUGGGUUGGUGUAGGCAGUACGCCAUUGGCGGCCCUAUCUUUGGGGCCAUUCCUUCCGGAUCCGCACGGACCACUACAACCUCAAGUUCAUGCUGGAUCAGAGGCUCUCGACGGUUCCCCAGCACCAGUGGAUCAAUAAACUAUUUGGCUUUGAUUUUACCGUCGAGUACCGGCCGGGUCGCCUCAACACCGUCGCCGAUGCCCUCUCUCGGCGUGACGCCAAUGUGGACGAUGGUGCGGCGGAAGGGGCUGCCUUCUGCAUCAUCACCGGGCCCUCUUUCGCCCUCUACGCCGACAUUCGCCGGGCGAACGCUACCGCGGCCGACGCCCUCCUCCUGCAGCAGCAGCUGGCGGCGGGCGAGCUCGAGGAGCCGUGGCGUCUAGCCGACGGCCUGCUUCUCCACGGGCGCCGCGUCUUCGUUCCGGACCACGACGAUCUUCGUCAGCAGGUGCUGCGUCUCGCCCACUCGGCGGGCCAUGAGGGCGUGCAGAAGAUGCUACAUCGCAUCCGCGCCGACUUCUACAUUCCAGGUGAUCGUGCCCUGGUCCGCGACUAGGUACGGUCUUGUGUGACGUGCCAGCGCAACAAAACGGAGACCCUGCGACCAGCUGGUAUGCUUCAGCCCUUGGAGGUCCCGUCUCAGGUUUGGGCGGACAUCUCCAUGGACUUCAUCGAGGGCCUUCCCAAGGUGGGCGGCAAGUCCGUCAUUCUCACGGUGGUCGACCGCUUCUCCAAGUAUGCUCAUUUCAUCGCCCUUGGCCAUCCAUAUUCAGCGGCAUCUGUCGCGCGGCCUUCUUCGAUGGCAUUGUCCGUCUCCACGGGUUCCCUUCGAUCGUCAGUGAUCGAGAUCCUGUGUUCACGGGUCAUGUAUGGCGCGACCUCUUCCGACUGGCAGGCGUGAAGCUCCGCCUGAGUACCGUCUUCCACCCUCAGACAGACGGCCAGUCGGAGAUCGUUAACAAGGUGAUUGCCAUGUAUUUGCGUUGUGUUACAGGUGAUCGCCCUCGCGCAUGGGUGGACUGGCUCUCGUGGGCGGAGUACUGCUACAACACCUCUUACCACUCCGCCCUCUGUGCUACGCCCUUUGAGGUGGUGUAUGGCCGGCCGCCCCCGCCGAUUCUGCCAGUUGAUCCAGCCUCGGCACGGACCGAGGCAGCCGGGGCGCUUUUGAGGAGCCGUGAUGAGAUGCUCGCGGAGGUCCAGCAACGACUCCUCCAGGCCCAGCAGUUGGCCAAACGAUACUAUGAUGGCCACCAUCGUGAGGCGGAGUUCGCGGUGGGUGAUUGGGUCUGGCUGCGUCUACUUCAUCGCUCUACGCAGUCGUUGGACCCCCGCGCGAGGAAGAAGCUCGGUCCUCGCUAUGCCGGUCCCUUUGCUAUCCUGGAACGCAUUGGCAAAGUGGCGUACGUCUUCAGCUUCCGGCAGGUGCACGGAUCCAUGAUGUCUUCCAUGUCGGGCUGCUCAAGCCUUUCCACGGCGAUCCACCCGUGGCACCACCGGCGCUUCCGCCGCUCGCAGACGGGCGUCUCCUUCCUGCACCAGAGAAGGCGCUGAAGGCUCAGCUGCGUCGAGGCUCCUGGUACGUGUUGAUUCGGUGGGCUGGACUACCAGAGGAGGAUGCUACUUGGGAGCAACGCGAGGAGUUCCGCUAGCACUACCCCGACUUUCAGCUCGAGGACGAACUGUUUGCGCAGGCGGGGAGAGAUGUUAUGACCGGCCAGGUCUAUGGCCGCCGGGUGCCCACUGGGCAGGCUUAAGGCCCAAGUUAUCUUAGUUUAUUUUCAGAUUAUGAUUAUAUAUACAAGUUGUAAGACUAUUUUGAGGAUUAAGCAAUAAGACUAUUCUAUUGCCCGGCUCCUAGAGGAGCCGGAACCCUAAACCCUAGCCCUCUCUCUCUCCUGCGCCGCCGCCACCCAGCCGCAAGGACGGCGCCUCGCCGCCGGCCGCCGCGCUCUAGCCCACGCCCCGCUCCCUCCUUUCCCUACCACCUACGAUCUAGAGGAGCCCGAACCCUAGCUCCUAACAACUACUCAAUCCCGGUCAAUUUAAACCUUGACUCCGUUUGGUGCACCAGGAAAAUAACGAUCCCGGCCGAGAUCACUCUCCACAGUCAAUGACCACCCGGGUCCAUAUGUCAUAUUCUUCUUCCAUCUCCCAAUCUGUAUCUCUCUCAGCAGCCAAUGCUCGUCGUGUAGCCAUCAACUACCCGUUUGUUCCAGGAGAACUGGAGAAGUGAUUUGUAUACGUGUGUGAGCAGAAUCAUUCAAGGCUUUGUACGGGUUGAGGGAAGACGAGGUCCUAAGAUGUCAUGUUGCCAGCGUCCGUGGCCUCGCCAGCGAGCUCCCAUUCGCCACGGCUAGUCGGCUACGACAACGGCUGGCUCUAUGGUGGGCCCCUAGUCCUACUCGAGUUGUGGGCCACGAUCCCUGCAGCAUCGAGGAUGACGGCCGGAGGAAUACGGAACGUGGAGCUCGUACACAAUCUGAAGCUAGCUCGAUCCUUGAUUAUGUCCAAGCAAGAUGCGCACGUACACGACGUAAGCCGCCCCUGCCUUGAUCGAUUCUUUGCUGAAAACAAACAAGCAACGCAUGCACCCAAGACGUAGUGUGCGCCGACAGCAUAGGAGUACUAGCAAGUCCAGCUCGUCCAAGUCGCCGGCGAGGCCAACGCGCCCGGCGUACUCGAGGACGGCCCUGAUGCGCGCAUCACGAACAAGAUUCAUGAUUUGGACCGACUGACUCGCAUGCUGCUGCUGGAGCAGGACGACGCCAUGUCCGUGUAGCUGCACCUUUGCUCGCUCUGGGCGCGCUGGGCGAGAGCCGCGCACCGCGGCGGGGGGUGGGGCGAGGCGGACGGAGGUCGGAGGGGAGGCCGCGUGCAACCGACGCAGACAAAGGAGGGACGCAUAAGCGACCACAAGCUGGGAGGUGACGGCAUCUAUCGUGUUCGUCAUGCUCGCGCCGAGGUGAAGGCGUGAAGCCGCAGGUCAGAGAUCUCUUAAAAAAAUCAACGGGUGCGCCACAUGAAAGGUUUCUAGGGCACAGUCGAGCUCGGGUCCCAACAUUCUACAUGCGCAGCUCCACGCGCUGGCCCGGCCGUGCUCGCCGUACAUGCUAUCCAGUAUCCAGGAAGAAUAUGAACGCUAGGAGAGAGAAGAGGAGAUUGAGGAAAAAGAUAUAUUAUAACAUGUAGGUCCGCGUGGUAAGUGAGAGAAAUAACCGAACCCGGUCGGGAUUGUCCUUCCAAACAAGUAUAGGAUUACUCUAGGGUUUAGAUUGACCGGGAUCAAGAAGUAUAGGGUACCAACUUCAGGGAUUUAAAUCGUGAGGGUUUAUUUGCGUCGUGCUUUACAAUCUUAAGGUUCAAAACAGACUUCACUCUUAUCAGAUUGAUCGGGCCAUCGGGGUCGCACGGAUGGAACCACCGCGUGUUUUCCGUUGCGUGUGACGCCUAUCAAGUGGGUCGACAUCUUCCAUUGGCCUCCGGUUUUGUUGGGACAUGUGAAGCCUGCGUUUCACCACGCGAUGCCCAUGGACUGGCUUCUAGUAGCAAGCAAGUCAUGCGUCUGACUCAUCGGUGGACACGAAGGACCAGAAAGGAAAAUGAGACCAGAGCAAAAUGCUGGGACCAUCUAGCUAGCUAGCUAGAGAGAGAGAUAGAGCUCGGUGUUUGAUUAGGGCCAUUUGGUUCACUGGUUCUGCACGCUCAAUCUACGCACCAAAGUUAGUAUAAAAUUAAGUCAUUUGUUUUAAAAUGGAGGGAGUAGCAUUUUAAUUGAUACUCCAUAUAGCACAUCACACCUUUCCGUGGUUUACUUACACAUAUAUUGUUCGCUGUCCAUUUUUCCAUCAAUAUUUAGCUCCAUUUCUUCUUUUAUUCUUUUUUUUCGCAAAGCAAAUAACCACUCCCUCAACUCCAUAAUGUAUUGCGUAUAGAUUUUAGAAGUCAAAAUUUGCAAACUUUGGCCAACAAUUUCUCAACGCUUUCAUUCAAUUAUUUAAUACUAUACAUCAUGCUUUCUAAUUUUUAAGGAUUUACAACUAAUUGAGGUGUUGAAUUUAGAAUUGGGUCACCCGAUUUUGAUUGGGUCAACAUUGUCCCAAGGAGCUCUCUCAUUCAUCUCUUUUAAUUUCAUAUGUUCUCUAAUUUUGAAACUCUUUCAUGCAAUUGAGGUAUUCAAGUAUAGAUUUGGUAUACGAUUUUGACCGAGCCAACGAUUUUUCAAAUCAAUCAUCAGCAUUCGGCCUAUAAAAACACACCAAUUCCGUGCACCCUCCCACCACCUAGAAAGAAGAAGUGUCAUCAUGUGAUAUUGUAUCAUCAAUAGAGUACCGACGCAGAAAUUUUCCGAAAUAAAUAUACGCUAGUUAGCGGAUAACACAGAACCACACCACGAAAGGCCUAUCACAUCACCAUUUUAUAUAUAACUAGGACAAUGCCCGUGCGUUGCUACAGGACCAUAUGAAUAAAGGCAUUGAUCAAUAUUGUGUGCCCUAUAUUUUUAUUGCCAAACCUUGAGUCACUUGCAAGCUGCUACAAAAUGAAUUUUGUGUCAGCUGAUGCAUCUUGUAUGUCUGCAAUGAAUUCAAUACUCAUCUGAAUUUCUUUGUUUCUGGAAAGAGAACUCAUAAAUUGGACAUCAUUGACACCAGCAGCGAAAGAUUGGCUCACCAUUCUUCAGCAAUCCCUCCAUUAUGUGAAUAUCCUGUAGCGAUGUAGAGAUAUGGAGAUUAAACACAUUGCCUCACGCCGCUUCAGAUAUGAUUCCCAUGAUGAGAGCUCCCUAUGCUUGCUAUUUGAUCAUAAAGCCUAAGUUUGAAAUGAUCAGCGCCAUUGAUGUUUGAGUCCUAUAGCACCUUGCAAUGCCUCAAAUAUUUUGUUGUAUCUCGUAUCCUAAUUAUGCUAUGUGACUUAUCCCAAAUAGCAUAGCGUGGUAAGCUUGUGGAGUGCACGCUUAUUCUAUCUCAUUCCACUACAUCUUCGACUUACCUGGCCACCGUGGUAGCUCCUCUCUCUCCUCUCUCCCCUCUCUUUUGCUGCUCCAUGUUCUGAUCAAUCAUACAAAUACCUAAAAGCAUAAAAAGAAGGGAAAAUCAUAUCAGCAGUAUUACUUCAAAAAAAACUAUACAUAUAUAUCAAUAUUACCGUAGCCGGUGUAGAAAGAAAAUUAGAACUGAACACUUGGGGUUAAGCUGAUCAAAUGAAUGUAUGAGAUGAGUAUAGGAGCAACCUUUUACCUAGCGCUUUGUAUUAUGGCAGGUUAGCACUUUAUAAGACAGUCUAAACUACAGAAUGACACCCAGGUGACCCAGCCUUGCUCGCAUUUGUGCAUGUUUCUAUUACCAAUGGAAUAAAAACCAAAUUGUCGACCGCCUUUACUGAAACAUGCCACUACUUCUGCAAAUACUUUCGCUGCAUAUAUACUGAUGGGACCAUCUCAGGCACCUGUCGUCCAGAGCGUCAUGAUGGAGACAACGUCAGAGAGGAGGAUUGUCAAUAAUACUCAAGCAACAAGUACUUGUAUUAUGUUGUGCAGCUAUCAGUAUACAAAGUUAUGUUUUCUCUGUUCUUAACACAAUUACGCGAAGAAAAAGAACAGACUUAACUUCUAUGCAUGUGGGUGUGCGGAUAAACUAACCAAAUCAUAAUAUGUAUUUUUACAAAAAAAAACCGCUUAUUGCUGAAUCUUAUCAUAGAUCUAAGCACAUCACAAAUCCUUCCAUCCAAGUGUGAAUUUCAUUUGUUCAAUAAGAAGGAGAACACACCUUACUUGCAUUCAAUAUGUGUAAAAAAAUAAAACAAAUAUCACACGCACACCUUUGUAAUAUAACUGUGAACUGGCUGGGACAUCUAAAUAGAUAAGAGCAAUUGAAAAGGAGAAGAGCACACCUUACUUGCAUUCAAUUAGUGUAAAAAACAUCACAAAUAUCACACGCUCACCUUUGUAAUGCAAGUAUGAACUGGCUGGGACAUCUAAAUAUAUAUAAAGGACCCUCAAUACCAGACAAUCUUAUAGUUAAUUGCAUAAACAAAUUGGUAUAGCUAGACUGAACAAAUUGGACACAAAUUUGCAGUGGUAAAAGGCACAAAAACAUGUGAAAUAAGAUUAGCCUUUUCAUCAACUGCAUAUGUUUCCACAUGCUUGCGCCGCAACCUCUGAAACUGGUUAAGGCCGUAUGAAAAAAGUUAGAUGAACUACUCUAGUCAUAACAUUGACCGGACAAAAGGUUCUGAAAAUUUAUUAUGUGUGCCGUGUGAGAAUAAUCUAUUUGACCUGCCUCAUCGUCUACCAAAUGUUAGAAUGAUAGAAGAUUCAAUUUAUUAAACCAUUGCAGCCCGUGCAUCAAACCUCUGAAAAUGCGUAAAGCAGUCAUACCUGCGCGUCAGUGAACUCGUCAAUCCGCUUCAUGAUUCACCAGGUCCUCCAUCAACACCUCGUCUUCCAGUCAUCACCUAUCAUCUAGUCAACCCCGGUGGAUGUCUGGAGGCCCCGAACCGCCUCUCAUGUCUCACGCCUCAGAUUCCCAAGUGCCUCUGACACAUGCGUGCCCCUCGACAGCGGUGGAGGUUGCCUCGGCGUGUGCCUCGGUGUGGUGCCCGGGAGGGAGCGGUGGGAGGAUUGUCAUGGUCGGCGGUGAAGUAUGACACCUAACAUUGCUCUCUAAACUGAAUUAAAAAGUAAAUGAAUAACCAUCCACUUUAUGGUAUCCCACCUUGAAAAAAUUGUUGUUUACAGCUAAACCUUUUACGCGGGAAUAAAAAUAAUACACACAUACAAAUUACUUUCUCUUCCAUCGCGAAGCAUGUUCUAUAAUAAAUGGCUACUACCUGCACUAUGUGAAUCGACAAACCAUGAUGCACACAAAUCUCAUAACCGGCAGUUGACAAAAGCAAUCACCAAAUAACCUUCUGCUCGCCAAACACAUUUGGAGCAUGAAAUUUCUGACCUCAUGGACGCGCCAUGGAGAAGAGUAAGUUCAUAAAAUACUCCUACCUAAAUAUAAAAUCAGAAAUUUGAUCAACAAAACGGGCAUGGAGAAAAAUAUAUCAACAACUGUCAAAAGGCAUGACCUACAGUGGAUAGACUGAGGUCUCGGCAGUGCACAGAUCCGCCCAGUAAAGAACAUAUCCAAAGAGUUCAUAAAUAGAAAAGACACAAUUCGAUGUUCAGUACCAAAACAAAAUACGUCACUGUAUCAUAAACUCCGUACCUCCAAAUCCUGUGCUCUGCACCUCUUAUACUUGUAAACAACUGAACAAAUCAACAUGUAUAGAAAUAUCAUAUUGAUGUACAAUCUCAAUAACCUAAACCUGAAAAAAAUAUUAAGUCAGUACAUGGACCAAAUCAACUUUGUGACUGGUUUUAAGGUUGCAAUUGAACACUUGCAGACAUGGACGACCCAAAUCAACCUUGGCUAAUCAAUCAACAAUUGAUUUGAACAUACGGAGAAGAAUCAACCUUCUUGUGAUGCUUCAUGAAAAAACAAUAUCAUUUCCCAAUCAAUGAACAAACAUGUGAAACCACUUUUGAUCAGAACAUAUGAGCUAGCCUAUCGGAAACAAUUAAUUAAAUGGUCUACUACUUCAGAUGCUGAAGAAUGAAAUCACGCUAAGAACAAAUAAGGGGGAGGUAGAAGCCCACGUCGUCAUUGGAGAGGCGGUCCGCUGUGAGUUUGGGCUGUGUUGCCCUCUCCUUCCUCUUCCUCUUCCCAUGCGGCCGACCAAACCGGGACAACAUGGAGAACGACACCCACGGCGGGGACAUGACCCAGCAGGCGGAACCAGUAGUUCUCGUGGAGGUGCCGGAGACAUGUGAAGGUGGCGCCGAAGGUGCUCGGAUCUGGCCGAUGUGAGGGUCCAUUGCGGCUGCGCAGUUGAGUCCUUGGUCCGCGUCCGGGAGGGCCGCAGAUGAGGUCGUCGGGGCGGCGGGCUGCAGCGAUCGGUGGAGGAGCACGCGUGGGCGAGCGCGAGCGCGAGGUGGUGCCGAGGAUGGCGAUCGGCGGCCGAGGACCAGAGGGGCGGGUGGGGUUGGAACCCUACAUAGUGUGUUUGUUGUGUGACGUGAGAGAUGUGGGCUUUGUGGGGCUUGGCCCAUGUGCGGCUGCGCGGGACGAGCGACGAGGGACGACGAUGCCGAGCGACGUAAGAUGGGAAACGGAACCUUGCGUUUCUUUUAGAUAGUAGAGAAAACACUCAAUCAUCUUCCCCACUGGCGGAACUAAAUAUCCCAUCAUUUCCAAAAGAUAAAGGGGUAUUAGUUUUUGGAAAGUCAAAUUUCUUAAACUUGGACCAAGUUCAGAGCAAAAAAAUAGUGACAUCCACAAUAACAACAACAAAGCCUUUAGUCCGAAACAAAUUGGGGCAGGCUAGAGGUGAAACCUAUAAGAUCUCGCGACCAACUCAUGGUUUUGGCACAUGGAUAGCAAGCUUUCACGCACACAUGUCCAUGGCUAAUUUUUUGGUGAUGAAUACGAAACAAUAAACUAUGGAAAUUCAUUUCAUGAUGAAUCUAAUUAUUACCGGUUUGAUAUUAUGAAUUUUGAUAUAUUUCCGCUACAAAUUUGAUCCAACUUAAAGGUUUGACUUUUCAAAAAAAGCAAUGCACCUUAUAUUUUAAAACAGAAUGAGUAUUUAAAAAAAAUAAACAACAGCAACAACGGUGCAAAGCGCGUCCAAGCCUUCUGGUAUGCACUAUAUUAUGGAACGGAGGCAGUCUUGGUGGAGUACUGCUCAAGAUUAAGUGAACCUGGCCGGUUUGCAUAUAUUUUUUUUACAAUAAAAGCCGAAAAGUCAAGUCCUUGCAGUUUUUUUUUGUCCUCGCAGAUGCUCCAAGAUAAGUGAACCCGGCCGGUCUCCACACAGUGAAUCCUCGUGGCACGAAGCAGUUUCAACUCCACAAGAGAUUUGUACGAUGCGGACAGGUGAUCGAUCGACGGAGCACAUUAUCUUUUGGAUAUACGUAGUAUAUACCUUGGCGUGGAGCGCGGGCAGGAGUAGGAUAAUGAUAGAAAUUCUCUCGUGUGUAUUCAGCAGUAGUAUUCCCACUGCAACCAGGCAGGGUUUGGUUUGUACCCCUGGCCAAGCAACCGGGCAGGAGCAAAUUGGCGCCCGAUCCGGAUCCAUUCAGAGCUAUCAAUGGCUUUUCUUUUCGAAAAGGCCUCUGUCAACAGCUUUAUUUUAUUAACAAAAAAAUACAUCAUGGAUCUUUGGAUGAGCACCGGCGAUGGAUGGAUCCCGGCGACUUGACGCUCCGUCGCGUCGGCCGCACGGCGAAGACCCGGCCAGGUCCACGGCCAGAUCAGAUGGGAGCGUGCCACCGUGGGAUGCAUGCAUGGAUCCAACGACUAGUAGAUUAGAUUAGUAAUCAUUCUAAAAAGGCCGUGCUUGCUUAUCCUCCGCCGCAAGCGAGACCUGUUCACAAAGAUCACGGCAAUGAUUCGCAACGCAACAAACAAAUCAGAUUCAGAUGCAGACGAUGCGGUUAGAUUCUGGUACUCCUAGAAGAAUAUGAAGUCUUGGCUGCUGGGGUCGUCUCUGAGCCUGAGGCGGCAAGUUCCGACCAAUUCCAGGCGGAUUUUAAAAUGUUAGCAGGGCCUGUUUGUUUUCCCUUUCUUGAUAUGGUUGUUGGGGCCUGUUGGGAUGUGUGUAAUUAUUACUCCCUUUAUUUUAAAAUAGAUGACUCAACUUUAUACUAAUUUUGAGUCAUUUAUUUUAGAACGGAGGGAGUACUGUAUACCAAGAGUUUGAGUUUAUAAAUCCCAAAAAAGAUACUGAAGCUCUCCAGAAAUAAAAACAUCACUGCCCAGUAUCCAAACAGCCAAGUGGAUUUCAACUGGAUCCCACGGUGUUUAUUAUUCACACAUAUCCGAAACAGUGAUCAAAUCCAAAAUGGGACAAAGAUUGUUCGCUGACAAGGACAAAAAAAUUGUUGCGAAGACAACGUUUCGAGCCACUUGGCAAGCCGGAAAGCGAAGCUCAUCAGGCCGUACCAAGUUCCACAUCAUGUCGAGCAAAGACUAUUGGAUUCGAUGAGGACACCAGACCACACCAUGUUUAAAGCACGGCAAACAAGGAUUAUUGGACCAAGACGACGCCUUCACGGAUGCGGAUAUAUGAUGAAAUGCUCGUUUCUUCGUCUCCGCGGC